GUGAAGCUACGCGGAUCGUCGUCCGGGAGGGCUUUCAUGAGCUCGAUGGCUUUUGAAUAUUUUUCGAUGUAGGCUUUAUCCACGGUGUGAGCUGCCGGCCUGACGCGGAGUUUGGUAGGGGAGGGGAAUUUGAAGUCUACGAUUUUUUGGGACGUUGGCGGGCAACAGUUGGUCGGGACUGCUCCACUUGGAAAGUCCGCAGCUCCGCAUUUGGCUAGGUCAGGCGGCGACACUGGCUUUGCAACAGCGAAGGGGUCGCUGCCAAGACCAGCCACUCCACCGUAUAGGCUUCCGAGACCUAUAAGUACAUUUCUUCUGUCUAGGUUUACUGGAGAAGGGUUUUCAUGGUCGUGAUCGUUGGAGCUAGUGGAAGGGUUUUUGUUUUGGUCACUACUAUUAUUUGUGGCUUUGCAUGAGACAGCUUGUAAAUUGGAAUGCCUAGGGUUUCCAAAUGAGGAUAUUCGGUGAUACUUUUGGGAGAAAGGGGAGAGGAAAGUUGUGGGGAUGAUACUUGUGGCGGAGGUGACGAGUGGAGCUGACAUAGAAGCCAUGGUUACUUUUGACUCUGAAUAAUACGUUGUAUUGGCUUUGCUUUUAUAAUGUGUUCUAGGUUGUACUUUUCUUUGCACAGGUGGCAGGCCGUACACACGUGGUCGGUCCUUAAGGGUUUGACGAGGAAUACUACGUAGUCAUUUAGUACAGGACAACCAUACACUAUAGCAAGUGGCAUGUAUUUAGAGAUCGAGAGAGAAUUGGGUAAGGUUCACGAGGGAUUUGUAGUUUCAGAAGGUGAAUUGGUUUUGGUCUUCUUGUGUACCAAUAAUAUUUACUUAGUCAUUUAGUGCAGGACAACCAUGCACUAUAGCAAGUGGCAUGUAUUUAGAGAUCGAGAGAGAAUUGGGUAAGGUUCACGAGGGAUUGUAGUUUCAGAAGGUGAAUUGGUUUUGGUCUUCUUGUGUACCAAUAAUAUUUACUUAGUCAUUUAGUGCAGGACAACCAUGCACUAUAGCAAGUGGCAUGUAUUUAGAGAUCGAGAGAGAAUUGGGUAAGGUUCACGAGGGAUUGUAGUUUCAGAAGGUGAAUUGGUUUUGGUCUUCUUGUGUACGGCUGUGGGUCUGCUGUCCCGGACUCUCUGUCUCAUUUGUGUCUUAUUUUUUAUUUUUUCACACGUGUCUUUUACUUAACGUCAAAUCAUGAUAGCAAUGUUAUGCAAUUGGGAGCUAAACGACCGAUGCUUUUAUUUUUUAGUUUGCUUUUUUUCCAGAUCUGAUCAAAUCAUGAUAGCAAUGUUAUGCAAUUUUCAAGAGGGAAAGAUGCACCUGGGAGAGAAACGGUACGGUGACUUCUAAAUCACCGUCCAACAGAACAAUUCUCAGUAGAGACUACUAGAGAGAGAUGCACCUCACCAAUGAAAAAUUUAACUGCAAAAAUUCUGGGUAUUGGGUAAGGAAAUUCGGUGAUACUUUUGGGAGAAAGGGAAGAGAGAAGUUGUGGGGAUGAUACUUCUCGUGGAGGUGACGAGUGGAGCUGACAUAGAAGCCAUGGUUACUUGACUCUGAAUACUACGUUGUAUUGGGUUUGCAUAUAUAUAUAAUUAGGAUUGAAGGAUGUAGAGCUUAUUUUGUUAUGUAUUUUAACGAUUUAAGUGCUUAUCUUUUAGGUUUUCUCUUAAACAUCAUGUCUAUAAAAAAUCACCAAAAUUCAAACCAUAUGACCAUUAGAUCCAUAGUCAUUUUAGUGUUUAUUUGUAAAAUGUAUUCAUUCAUUUUCUUCACUACAAAUGAGUGAAUUAAUGAUUUUAGAAUUUGUCUAAUUUUUUACAUUGAUUAUUUAUGAAUGUUGAAUUGAAAUUUAGACGAUUCAAAAAUAGUUGAUAUGCAUUACAAAAUGAACUCCACAAAAUAAGUGUCAAAAUAUGUAUAAAAAAUGGACAGCGUGAAUGGCUUGGAAAUUGGAAUAGGUUUGAAAAUUGUGCUUUUUGUAGCAAAUUUUAGCAAAGUUUGCUUGGACUUUCACAACCGUAUAAAUUAAAGGGAAACUUGAUAUAACUCCAAUUUUUUGAGCCAAUAGUAGGAAUAGUCCAGUUUAUUAAAAUAAGUUCAAUUCUUUAAAUUUAAUUAUUUAGUUAUCAAUAAUUAUCUCUUAAAAGAAAAAACUUAUUGUAAAAAUCAAAUUUCUUCCUAAUUAUCUCUUUGAUUAUUUCUUUUUAUUUAUUUAUUUGUUAUUUCUUGUUCUUCCUCCUGCUUUAACCCAUUUAUAGAUUUUUUUUUUAAUUUUAUAAUCAACCUAUGUCACAGGUUAAUUGUAUUUAUCUACCUAUAUGACAUAUUCUUUUUCAUAGUCAACAUUUCACAGAUUAAUGUGUCUUGCUUGUAGAUAUAUUAUGUUUUUUUCUACCUUUUAGUUAGGUUUCAUAUCUCACUUAUAGGUAUAAUAUACAUUCAUAUAUUUGCUACUUGAGUUAGGGUAGAAUGUUUUGCAGAUAGAUUUAUGUUAGUAUAUUAAUUUUUUUUUGUUUAUAAGAUAUUAAUUAGAUAUUUUGGAGUUGAAAAAUGCAUAAUAUUAAAAGCUUUUAAUUGAUUUUUAAUAUUUUUAGAAAAUAUAAAAGGAGUAUAAAAGAAAUCAAAACAUAUAAUUAGAUAACGGGAGUCACUCCUAAAAACACUCUAUGUUUUUUGACCUGGAUCUUAAAGCCCCUAAAUUAAACUGUUCGCUUUGUUGGGAAAAAGAAGUGGCCCUAGUUUCCCUUUGAUUUUUCAAGCACGGUGGGAGACUGGUCAUAGUUUCUAGAUUGAUGCUCUAAUUCUAAUGUUAUACAACGCGUACGCUAUAAUAUUUUUAUCAAAAUAUUAGUUUUAGUGUUAUCAAAACAAUAUGUUAUUCUUACCAUGUUUUUGUAUCACAAUUAUAUACCACCUUAGAUGGUAUCUGAUGUGGACAGCCACAUCAUUUAAAUUAAUAAGCAUUUAAUUUCAAAAUGUUAAUCAAUAAUUAAUAAAAAGAUUGUUAAUUAAAUGAUGAUUGUGGUAUACAAGGAGUCUCCUUCUUCCUUCCUCUUUCCAUUCUGCUUUUUCUUCUUACCUCUUUUUUUUUUUUAAUGCCAGUUUUGUAUUGAUUUCUGUUGAUUUCCAUGAUUAUGGUCAAUCUUUAUAGAAUUUACUAGUAUGCCACAAUCACCAUUGAUUUCUAUCUCCAGACUCAUGCCCCGUAGCCCUAAUCCUCAUUCCCCUUCAAGUAUUUCUGUCUCCAAUCUUCUUUGGUACUCCAUGAUUGUUCAUCUCGUGAUAUUUUUUUUUUUGAUUAUUUCAUUAAGUAACGCUUAUUAGCUUUCAUGCGAAUUAGGAGUCAAAAUCAAAUUUGUCUAUCGGAUUAGGGUUCAUACCCAAUUAAGUUACUAACGCCAGAGGGAUUUUGAAGUAUGCAAUUUUCCUUAUUUAAGUGUUUUAAUUAAUAAGAAAAUUGAAAUUAAACAAUUUAGCUUGUCCAACUCAUCUGCCACCUAAGAUGGUAAAUAAAUGUGGUAUAAAAUUGUGGUAAGAAUAUCAUUACUCUUAUCGAAAUUACAAAAAAAAAAAAAAAAGCUGAUUCAAUAUUUAGUUAUUAAAAAAAAAAUGAUCAAGUAACUAUCCAAUACCCAUGUAUUGGGUGCUUUGUUUGAAAAUUUUCAAAAUGAUAUUGGGCUCGUUUGGAUAUGUUUUUAAAAUGACUGAAAGCAUUUUUAGAGAAAAUAUUUUUUUGAUUCCAAAAGCACUUAAAGUGCUUUCUGCAAGAAGCACCCGUUAUGUGCUUCUUCCUGGAAGCACUUUAAGUGUUUUUCCAGCAUUUACUUGCUUUUUUACUAAGGACUGGUUCCAAAAACAUUUUCACAAAAAGUGUUUUCAGUCAUUUUAAAAGCACAUUCAAACGAGCUCAUUGUUUUUCCUAUUUUAAUCGAGUGCGUCGUCCUCUGUUGAGAAUGAAUCUCAUAUUAUGGGAGGAGGGAUCUUGCAUGAAUGGGAGGAGGGACCUUGCAUGAGCUUAUAAGUAAGUUGGGUUACUCUCCAUAUUGCCAAAAGAAAUUUUAUUUGGACCCAGUUUUCCUCUCUCUAAACCCAACUUUAAUAUUUUGUUACCUAUAAACUCUCUAGUUUACCCUCAUAAAUUAUAAACAUAAAUAAACUAGAAAAAGAAAAACUCAUCAAACCCAUUUCCCAACUGUUCUGGCGUCUCUUCCCUGUAUUUGUUGGGUCUGUCUCCCUCCCGACUGUUUUUUUUUUUCUGAUAUCUCUGUGUGUUCCCCCACCUCUCCCACACCCACCAAUUCUUUGUGGUGGCUAUUCCACCAAACGUCCAGUGAAUCUUUCCAUUUUUCUUCUAUUGCGCGUGAUAGGGCCUUGCUAUUAAUAGGCAAAACUAAGCGGCAUCGUCGACUCCGUAAGCGACUUGUUGCAUAAGUCCAAAAUGGAGUCAAAUGGAUUUUGUAUUGGGUCGGGUUGUUGAAGGCGAUGGCUGAUUUAGCAAUCCCGCCUAACUAUUUCUAUAUGUAGGAGAAGGAAGAGGGAGGGAGGUCUGAAGUGGUGGUUGAGUGGUGGCGAUGUAUGUGGGUUCUCUCUCGGUUGAAUGGGUGUAGAAAGAUAUUUAAUUUUCAAUAUCUUAUUUUAUUUUGUAUAAGGGAUAAUAUAGGAAUUACAUAAAAAGUUUUUUUUAUAGCUAGGUGUAGAAAUAGUAUUGUUGGGUCUAAAUAAAAUUACCCUAUUGCCAAUUAGUUUUAUGGUGAAAUCUUAACUUUGUUCAUGCUUUCAUAGUAGGUUGUUCCACGUGUGAAGUCAAACAUCCACACGCGCUGCACGUCACCCCGUUGUGUUGUUCACGUGUUAAGCUUGAAAAUUCAUCACACAUGAGGGAGCGUGUUGAGAAUAAAUUCCACAGUUUAUAAGUAAGUUGUACUACUCCGUAUAUUACCAAUUAAUUUUGUGGAAUUCCGUCAAAGCUGAAUUUGACGGAAAAAAAUAACUUCAUGUUUGUUCUUAACUAUAAAGUCAGUGAUACACUAAUUCUGGUUUGUUUGUUUUUUCCUUCCUUCUUAAGGAAAUUCCCAAUCCAACCAAAAAAAUGAAAUUCCCAAGAGAAUAGUAGCACGAACAAUCGUAGCUUUCUUCUUCGAUAAGCCUUGGGGAAACAGAAAAGGGAAAACCGGACUUUAACCCUAAUUUCUCCCAAUGCCGCAGCACUCUCUAUUUUCUCUCUCGCUCUAUAUCGCGGUCCCUCUCUCUCGCCGUCCUCUAUUGCUCAAACUCAAUGUCUCCAACUUCCUCUGUAUGGUUCCCGAGGAAGAUGGUAAAACAGUAAGGGCAAGAAAUUGUGACAAGGUUAGAUUUGGGUAUUAAUCUGGUGGGGCUACAAUUCUCCAAUCCACACCCCUUUCAUCUGUGCUAGUGUUUGAACCCAAUAUUAGAUAACCGGUCCAUGCAAUCGAUGCCGUUGAAUGAGAAAAAUUCUAGGCCGUGGGAUCAAAUAUAAUGAUGUGGAUUAAAUAAGGAAAAUUUAAAGAGUAAUGAUAUUCAUACCAUGUUUUUGUACCACAUUUUCAUACCACCUUAGGUGGCAUUUGAUGUGGAUAGCCACAUCAUUUGAAUUAAUCAGAUUUUAAAAUUUAGUUGAUUAUUUAAUAAACUAAUAAUUAAGAAAAACUAAUUAAUUAAAUGAUGAUUGUGAUAUACGAGGAGUCUUUCUCGUUCAUUUCUUUGGGUUUUGCAAAUUUUUCAAAUGAUGUGGCUGUCUACAUCGGAUGCCACCUAAGGUGGUAUAGAAAUAUGGUAUAAAAAUAUGGUAUGAAUAUCAUUACUCAAAUUUAAAUGUUUAUCUUGGUUAAAUUACCAUGAUAAUAUUGUGGAAUUAUCUUUUGCAUAACGGAAGAGCGAGAAAAGUCCAAGGGUGUAGGGAAGUUGUGUGGUUGACUACCGCUAUUUUGAUGGUAUAAUCUGUAGAGUAAUAUUACAUUUAACAUCUAUUUGUAUCAUAUUUCUAAUAAAGAUAAGGACCAUCAAUGCAUAAAUAAUUAAACAAAUAUAUAAUAAGAGUAUCAUUUUUGUAACUAGAAUAGGAGAAGAAAGACUUCAAGAUGGGAUCAGCCAAAUAAUUAGCGUUAAGAUAAAAAUAUUGAAAGGAAAACUAAUGAAAAUGGCUUGAAAACUUUGAGUUUUAACGAUAAGGACAAGAUAAAGGGUAAAGUGAAUAGUACCAGGAUUGACUUUUUAAUGUAAAAAUAUAGUUUUUCGUUAAAGUGAACAUUACCGGGAACUUUUCGUUAAAGUUUCCAAUGAGAUAAUAUUGCAACAGCUGGCAUGAGACAAUGAUGGUAUAAAGAUGGCUACUACGGCCAAACUACUACAUAGGAUUCCAUACAUGCGGUCAUUAUUUCGACAAAUCAAUGGCUGCCGCAAUCAUGUGCUCAUUAUUCCGACAAAUCAGUAGCUACUUGCAUUGGAUUAGGAUUGCAUGCGUGUGGUCAUUGAAUGAGGAUUGCGUGCACGUGAUCUUUAUUCAAACAAAUCACUAUUGACCAUAUAUUGCAAUUGGUUAAUGGUAGGCAAAUUGAAUUUUUACAUCAAAUAAUGUGAUUGCUGAUAAUUGAAUUAUUAUUUAAAUGUUGAUUAAUAUGCUUAUUUUUUAUUUGUGAUAUAUCAUUUAAUUUGUACAUUUAGUUUACCUAACAUUACCAACUGUAAUUUGUAUAAAUGGACUGGUACCUAACAUAACCAGUUGUAAUUUGUAUAAAUGGGACUGUAAUUUGUAUAAAUGGACUGGUGCCUAACAUUACCAGUUGUAAUUUGUAUAAAUUUACUGGUCCCAAGAGCACAUGCUACUGCUCAAGAAGCAAAGUUCUUAUUUGCCCAAAAAAAAUCAUGGUUUUUUAAUUGAUGCUCUCAUUUUAAUUUACUAGCCCCUUACUUGGCCUUUUUUAUUUAUCAUUUUAUACAUAUUAAUAUUUUUUUGUAAAAUAUAUUAGUUUGAGUUUUAUUAAAAUUAAAAAUAAAUAAAAAAACUUAGUUUUAGUUUUAUCAAAUUAAAAAAAAAUGACUUAAUAUUUAGUUAUUGAAAUUGUAAAAAAGUGAUCAAGUAUUGGGUGCUUUGUUUGAAAUUUUUCAAAAUGAUAUUGUUUUUACCAUUGAAACCCUGUUAUAUACAGUGAUGGCUAAUUUGUCAAGUUCUACGAAGUUGGGAUACCCAGCGUUUUAGCAUAUAACAUAGCUUAGUAUUACAAGCAUAAUUAAUUAAAAUAAAGGCAAAAUAAGAGGAUAGCUUAGUAUUACAAGCAUAAUUAAUUAAAAUAAAGGCAAAUUGUAACAGCCCGUCCCUAAAAAUGACGAUUUUAUAAUCUUAACACGUGAGUUUAUGAAGAUGCCCUUCGAGGCAAAGUGUUGACUACCGCGUCGUGUCAUGUGAGACUCAUCUUCUUGGCGUAUUCUCGUUUUACUCGUCGCUACGGAUGCGUGGGCGCAAACGACACGUGAUUUGGAGCUAUAACAAAAGAGUUAUUAACAUUUAAAGUUAAGGACAUUUUAGUAAAUUAAUUAAUUUCAGAUUUUGUUGAGGGGAAAAUCUGGAGUGCCAUGUGGGUGGCCCAGAUUAAAGGAAAUGAGGAAUGGAUGGUGGAGGUGUAAAGGAAAGAAGAUAAAAGAAAAAUGAGAGGAAAUGUGUGACUAAUAGGGAGAUGAGAGAGUUAGGAUGGCCCAAUUAGAAACAAACGAAAGGAGGAAAAAGGAGAGAAGAGGGGAGCAGGGGAUCCCUUCAACCCGGUUCCACUUUCCGACCCGACCCGAUCCUUUUCAUCUUUUCCGGUGGUUUUUCGUCAGUUUUUCCGGCGAACCACGUUAUCUAACCCCGUUGAAAAUGUUCCACGACCUUCCCUCUACCAUUACAACCCAAAAUUGUAGAAAUUUAGCCAUGAAAGUAUGAAAACCGCACCGGUGGGUGCGGGAAACCUUUGUCGUCGAUUCUCCCAUUAUUGAAACGAUUUUCACCAAUUAUCACCACCUACAGCAUCCUCUUGAGGUCUGGAAUAAAGCCCAAACAAGUUUUGGGGCGUUGGAGUUCGUUUAAGGUCGAAUUGAGCACACCCAAAUUCAAGGGUUCCGUACCGUUCAUGGUGAUUUGAGGUGUUUCUCGGCCAAAUUGGCCUUAGUCACAAGUAUGAAAGUUGCUCCACUCGUUGAGAUCUUCAUUUAUGUGAAAUUUGAGAAUUUUUUGAAAUAUUUGGAUUUUCCAGCGAGUCGGGGUGGCGGACCGCCACCGGCAGCAGCGCAUGGCCAGUGGUCCACCAAUGUCAUUUUACGUUAAAUUGAUAUCUUGAUUUUAGAUUUGAUGUCUAUAUGUUAUGACUUGAUUAUGUGAACCUAGUUUGAUUAAGGUGCGUUAAUUGGUAAAAAUAUGAAACGACGAUCCGACCGUGGGAUCGUCACCAAACUUUAAUAUGUUAUAGUACAUAAUAUUUGAGAAUCAUAGGGACUGACAGAUAGGAAAUCCGAGAUACAGAUCUUCCCGAAAUGGAAUUGUAAGUUUGAAGAAUAAACGUUAACCGCCACUUUGUUUUGACUAUUGGUGGAGAUCCAACCGUUGGAUCAUAAUGAAAUUUUAGGAUGAUGUUUUAGAAGCAUAAUGUGGAUCUUUGGAAGUUACUGAUCGGAAAUCCGAGGAGUGAAUCUUCCGAAUUGAAUUACGUAGGGUUGUGGACCUUACCGUCGAUCGUUGACCGAUGAUCGACUUUUGGUCAAUGGGGCUUAAAUCAAUCUAAAACGUUUUUAGGGAUGUGUUUUACGUAAAUUACAUGAUCUAUUGAUAAGAAUUAUGAGAUGUGGUUUGAUAAUUGUCCUAGGUGCCGAUCGUUAGGAACGCUUCGAUGGUUAUGCUAGGAAAUUGUAGCACAGACUCCUUGUGAGUGAAUCUUUUCCUUCUUAUCAUAUAUAUAUAUAUAUAUAUAUAUAUAUAUAUAUGAUUGACAAUUCCACAAACGUUUAUAAAUUGAUUAUUGCAUAUAACUACUGUGAAUACUUUGAAGUACUUAUGCGAACUACGAAUGGCUUGAUCCGUGUUUAGGGUACGUAGGCAGUCUAACAAGACGUUAGAUGUAGUCAUACAAUAAUUGAGAUUAAACAAUUGAGAUAAAGCCUUGUUUGGGGAACUGGGCAAGGUGAAGGAAUUUGGUAAAAAGGUGAGAUUUAACCUUAUGAAUUGGUGAUUAAAUGUUGGUCAUAAAUCAAUGUGUAAAGAAUCAAGAAUUUGAAGUAAGGAAACGUAAGUAAUGAUAAUUAAUUAAACUAGUGUCUAGUUGGGCUUGUCACCUAUAAUUAUCCCCGAAAAUGAAUAAUUCGGGAGUAGGGCGUUACAGCUUCUGCAUUUUUAUGCCACAUUAUAUAUAUAUAUAUAAUUGGAAAUGCUAUAACAUGGUUGAGUAUCAGAUUUCAUCAUGGUUUAUCUAUAUGUAUAUUACCUGCACACAAUUAUUAUGAACGCGUUGAAGUGCAAAGGUGAAUGCACGACACCCAGGUAAGUUCAGGUGAGUUUAUGGUAUUAGUUGAAAUGAUGGGGUUAUGGUAUGACUACAUGUAUGUUUAGGUUGCAAUGAUAGGCAACUCCAACACUGUCGUACAGGUUGCCCAUGAAUUGUACAUGUUACAAUAGAUACAGUUAGAGCUCAUAAACCUACACCCCGGUGUUAGUACUCCCGCUCGUGGCCAGGGCACAGUCCUUCACGUGAUGUUCACCUCCCGCACCUUACGCUCACCUUGGAUCCAAGGUAGGUGCACAAUCAUGUCGUACCACUAUAGGUGGUUCCGACUCGUAGAUGACCCGCGAUUAUUUGCACAGUCUUCACGUGAUUGUAGCACUUGAGCGUAUUUAUUUACACCCAGUUCUAUUGUACAGACCACUUUAGGUGGUUCCGACUCGUAUGCAGGUAUACUUAUUAAGCUAUGGAUAAGUCGUACAGGUCACUAGAAGUGACUCCGACUUAUGAGCUAGCAUAUGUGAUGAGCUAGCAUAUGUGAUGAGAUAAGUGAUGAGUUAGUAUAUGUAAUGAGAUAUGUGAUGAGCUAGCAUAUGUGAUGAGAUAUGUGAUGAGCUAGCAUAUGUGAUGAGAUAUGUGAUGAGCUAGCAUAUGUGAUGAGUUAGCAUAUGUGAUGAGCUAGCAUAUGUGAUGAGAUAUGGGUAAGUCGUACAUGUCACUAUAGGUGACUUCGACUUGCGUGCUAGUAUGGGUUAUUAAUCACAUGAUUAUUGAUAUUACUGAUGAGAUGCUGUGUUGUGGUAUAUUUAUGAUCUUUCUGGAAACUAUGCAAGUGUUGUAACGAGGGGUUAUAAUGAGGUGUUGUAACGAGGGGUUAUAAUGUUUUAUAUGGUUUCUGUUAAAAUUUUAUUUCUAGGGUCACUCACCCUUAUUUUGUUUUCACCCUCUAGGUUUUAUUAGCUGAGCUUUCUUAUCGUCGAAGAUUCGUGGCGAUUCUUAGUAUUGGAGAUUAUUUCGAGAGUACGAUUCUUAAUUCACUUUACUGUACUUGCUUAAGCUGUAACGUCACGUGUGAAGUGGGUUCAUUUCCGCUUACCAGCGCAUUCUGGUAUUUAGGCACUCUUAGGUUUAAAUUUAUUCACAUUUUUCCACAUCAUCAAACUUUAUGGCUUUGUCACUCUUUAGGUGUCGGCCAGCACAGCUCGAUUUGGAGUCCUAGUGGACAUUCCGGGUCGGGGUGUGUCACAAAUGAAGAGGAUGGUUGAACUUGUUAAGUUUCUUAAGUGUGUCUACUUGAAGUGUGUUGCUAAUAAAUAUUUUGUUGUAGGCAUAAUUUACUGAACAAUUAUGGAGGCAGAGAGAGAGAGAGGGAAUAUGCGGCAUAGAGAGAGAAGAGAGAGAUGUGUAAUUGUGAGGUGUGUUCUAUUCCACCCCAUUGUACCUUUAUUAUAUUAGUAGGGAAAGUUAAUUCCUUACCCUUUUAGGAUUACAACUCUAAUAGGAAAAUAUCUAGUCUAAGAGAUAUGAUAGAAUCUCAUAAGGAUAUCCUAGAUAUGUUAGGAUUUACACAAUCAUAUUCCUAUUCCAAUAAGACUGCAACACAUUUGUAUUUUUUUAGAAUUUUUUUGAUAAUUUGUUGGUAUUCUCAAUUUUUGUUAACAUUGAAAAUAUAACGGUUCAGAUGAAAAACCUUUGGAAAUCCAACAGCUUGCAAGACGUUGGGCUGUGCUGAAGGAAGCUGGGCUGUCACGUGGAUGGGGCCCUCCCUCUCCCUCUUGUUGAUUCAAAGGGCGCAGGCCCGUGCAACAAUUGGCGAGGCAGCCCAUAGAGAUCCUGCGAUUCACCCAUUCGCCAUUUUUUCCACCGCUGGAGCACCAAAAUUCGGUCAAAAGGCAGGGGUAUCAAUGGCAAGGGCAAUUUGGCUUCCGCUGGAGGUGCUCUUUGUCGACUUUGUUUUUUCUCUCAUUUUAGCUUUUGCAGUAAUAUUGAAGUAAUCACUCCAAUUUUAUCCAAACUUUUGUUGUCCGUCAAUUUUUAUCAAAACUAUUGGUUAAUUUACAUAUUCAGACUAACCUUCUCAUUAUUUUUAGUAUUUUUAUCAUAAAUAAUAUCUGAAAUAGUCACAUUUUAUUCAACAACCACUCAAUUAAAAAUUAAUUAGUGUUGUUUCUAAACCAUUACAUCAAGCUUUUGUAGAUACACAUCAAUAUUGCAGCGAUCCGAGGCAUUGUUUUAGUGACGGUAGUACUUUCUACUCCUUGGAUUUGGUGAAUCGGAAAAGAGAAGAGUUACGAGUAAAAGUCCCUCGCAUUGUUUUGGGGAGAUGAAGAUGAUGAUCUUUUGUUUUUGUUUUUUAAUGAUUAAUCCACGCAGCAACAUAUAAUUAAAUUGUUGGGAUCUACUCAAGUUCCAUAUCACACACUAACAUAAAAUUUGACAAACGAAACGAAAUAUGUGUGUAGACAUCGAAAUUUCGUAAAUAAAUGUUGACCGAUAAAUCAAAGUGUCAACGCUCAUGUAUUACAUAAAUUUUACACGUAGCGUGUGACUCAACGAAAAUUGAAAUGAGUUGGAAAAGUCAUCAAAUAGGACACGUGUCAACACCUGGCAGAAACGACUUAUUUCAUCUGGGAUAUUAUAUUCAAAAUUAGCCAUUGGAAAAUUCUAUAAAUACAAGCCCAUUUCAUUCAUUUAAGGAGAGGAAUUCAUAUUACACCUUGAAGCUCUGAAGCUCUGAAACUCCGAAGCUCUCAAGCAUCCAGGUUCCCGAAGAAUCAAGAAAGUGUUCUUCGUUCUUCGUUCAUCGUUCUUCCAAGAUCAAGCCUCGACGGCCCUUGGAUCAACAAUCAUCCACCUUCAAGAUCAAGCCCCGACGGCCCUUGAAGAAAGCGUUCUUCGUUCUUCGUUCAUCGUUCUUCCAAGAUCAAGCCCCGACGGCCCUCGGAUCAACAAUCAUCCACCUUCAAGAUCAAGCCCCAAAGGCCCUUGAAGAACUUCCACCAAUUCAAGAUCAAGCCCCGACGGCCCUUGAAGAAAGCACCAUCGUUCAUCAUCCGUUCAUCCAAGAUCAAGCCCCAACGGCCCUUUAGAUCAACAACGUCGACAAAUCCACACAUCCAACCGUUCUUCAAGAUCAAGCCCAAAAGCCCUUGAAGAUCCGUUCAUCACUGUUCUUCAAGAUCAAGCCCAAAAGCCCUUGGAGAUCCGUUCAUCACUAUUCUUCAAAGAUCAAGCCCAAAAGCCCCUUUGAAGAUCCGCUCAAAUCCACCUUCAAGAUCAAGUCCACGGCCCUUGAAGAACGUUCAUCCUUAGAUCAAGCCCAACGCCCCUUUGGAUCAAUCGCACAUCCACAAAUCAACACCUUACGGAGAUCGAAUCAGAGGAUCAAAAUAGAGAGAGAUUGUAACCCAAAAUCAUCAAAUACAAAUAUUUGUUUGUGCGCGUUGUUCUUGUCUCUUUCGUUUCAGGAAUUUUCCGUGUUCACAAUGUGCUCUUGAAAUCAAAAUGAGGGCACUGCUCCAAGAACAAGAAGGGCACCUUGUCGAGGUCGCCAUCCGCCGUGAGGGAAAACCGGAAGAAGUUGGACAACAAUGAUAACAUCAAUUUGCGGCACCCAUAUCGGGACAUCACACUGUGAAAUAAAUAUUGAAAUAAAUACUCAAAACUCCUGGAAAGUCCUCGAGACAACAAACUUUCAUCUCCUUCAAACAUUUCAUUUUACUAAGUUUUAUCUUUGAAGGGAGGGAAAAAAAGAGAAGAGAGAAUCCUACUCCUUAUUCCUGAAUAUAUUCAAGAAUAGCUAUUGAAUAAAGAGAGAAUGGAGGGUGAUCGAAAGAGGAGGGAAGAGAAUUCUAGUUCCAAACAUAAAAAGGACCACAACUUUUAAAUUAUCAGCACAAUCAUCACCUAAUUGAAGAGACCAUUCACUGUGAAACAUAUUGUCAAUCAGUCUAUCUAUAUCUAUUUAUAUACCAUAUUUUUAGAGUAAGAUUCUCUCACCUCCUAUUACCAUCCCCUUCCAUCCUUUCAUCUCAUACUCUUUUUUUGUUGUCUUAUUCUCUAUAUAAAAAAAUUCAAAACAAGAUGUAUACGUGACGUAAUCGUAACCGUUUAAAUAAGAGGGGAUAGAAGAGAAGAGAGAUUAGGAGAAGGGAGAAUCCUACUCCCACAUUUUUCUUCUUCAUAAACAAAAGAGAGGUUCUAGAUUACUUGACUCUAUGCCUCAUUUUUUUCAUCAAGUAUUUGUGAUAAGUGGGUUCAUUUUCAAGUAUUUUAGUUUUUUUGUCAAAAUUGAGAAAACUGAAAAUCAAACAUUAAUAUGAAAAAUUAAAAAAUCAACAUAUAAUUAUUUAGAAAUCGCAAUAGAAAAGAAAAAAAAUGGAGGUUUGUGAUGAAAAAUCUUUUAUACUAAGUAAUUUAGUAUCCUUAUGCAUGAAGAUAAAUCAAUUUGUUCGUUACGGUCAUACUCUUUUUUGAAUUUUUGAACACAUUCUCCAUAGGGCCUUCUUAUAUGUUCCUUCUCCAAGCUCGGGUUAUGGAAGAAGUAAAAGAAGGAAUCGAAAAGAAAGUAUUGGUAACAACCGAUUUCAUUACGAGACAACUCUUGAUAUUCAUAUCAAUCUAUUAUGUACCUUUGCAUCUAGCAUUAGACAAUAAUUGUCAUAGCUUUACCAUAUUUUUUUGUUUCAUUUCUUCUGAAACAAUCUCACACACUUUUUUAUUAUGUGUCUACUACUAGGAAUUCAAUACGUAAUCUUAGCAUUCAAUAGUUAUUCCUAAAUAAUUUCAAUUUUCAAAUGAUCAACCAUUUCAUUUUACCAAGUUCAAUCAAUGUUAGUCAGAUUAGUCAACAUUUAUAUAUUUUGAUGCAACAACAAGAUGUUAUUUGUAACAAGUGAUUUUGUUAGUUGGUUAAUUGGUCACAAGUUAAUGUUCGGUUCAGUUUAGUUUUUCUCUCGAUUUUUUGUGAUUCGGUUUUUUCAAUUCUCUUUAGGGUCGGUUCGGUUUUGUUUUUUUAUUUAUACUUGAAUUUUAUUUUAAUUUAUUUUAAUUUAUUUUAUUUUAAAUCUGGAAACACCAAGAACAACACAAGCACAUAGUCAAUCAAACAACUAUCCUUCUCCACAAAUCAUAGUAAUAAUUACAUUCAUUGAGCUGAAAUGCAAAUAACUAACAAACUCACAAAAAUCAAAUAAAAACUACAAAUUGCUUACUCUUUUUCUUUGGGUUUCACUCGAAAAGUGUCGGUAAAAUUUAGGGUUUGCAAGAACGCAACUGAAAUCUAAAACGGAGGCCUUGUGGCCUAUGGGUUGCUAUUGAGUUCCAGUACAGAGAACCUUGCUUAAUCUCGAUCACGGUACAAAGUAUCGAGUACCUUUAGCACUGUAUUUUGGUAUGAUUGGUAGAACCAAAUUAAAAGCUAACAUCAACAACAACUACCAGAGACAAAAGCUCUUAUCAAUGCUUUGGAAACAUUUAUGUAUCUCCAAGUGUAAUGAUAUAAUUGGUUGGAAACUUGUGAUUUCGUAUCAAAUCAAUAAAAAGUUACAAUAUUGACAAUAUAUUAGCAAUUUUUAUGUUAAUUAUGAACAAGUCAAUCAUGUAGAACCAAAUUAAAAGCUAACAUCAACAACAACUACCAUAGACAAAAGCUCUAAUCAAUGCUUAGGAAACACAGUCCUGUAUCUCUAGGUGUAUUGAUAUAAUUGGUUGGAAAUUUAAAAGAAAAAUGGUGAUUUUGUAUAAAAUUGAUAAAAAGUUACAAUAUUGACAAUAUAUUUGACACACCCCGACCAAGAUCAAGGCAUGCUGGCCGUCACAUGAGAGUGACGUAACCAUGUGCACAGUGCGGAAGCAAUAAUGAUAAGAAAUAUAUGAAUAAUUAAAAACCGAAUCUACUAGAGUGCACUACUAAACAGGAAGUAUUAGGAGUAAGAUACAAAAGUAAAUACUCCUAAUCAGAGCAUAGAAAGUCUAGGUGCAAUCCAGUAGGACAAGUACUAAUUAUACAGUAUAAAAUGUCUUACAAUUAUUUAGAUAGGUCAGAACCGCCGAAGUCCUCACACCCAACAACUGCAAACUUACUUAAAACCUGAAGGGGCGCAAAAUAGAAAACGUGAGUGGGAAAAAACAAAUGUUUUACAAAACCAUUUCAUUUAUCAAUAUAUCUAACCCCUCGCUGUAAACAUGUAUAAUUUUUCCCAGAAUCAAGAUAUAAGCAUAUACAUAAAUAUAUAUAUAAAUAUAUCAAUUCAAAUCAUGCUUCACAUAAUCAUAUUCAUAUGUAUGUCAUGCCAAGAUAUAACAGAGUAAGCAACUCAGGUAAGAGUAAUUUCAUAGAAAUAUAACAUGUUAGCCGGAACCCCUGUAGUAGUCUGUACGGCUGAAUUCAUAGCUCAAAAGUCAAUCUAGCCGAAGUCACUACAAUGACCUAUACGGCAAUAUACUGCACAAGAGUCGGAACCAAAUGAAAAGAUCUGUACGACAAUAAUGGGUGUUGUUGAUGCACAAAAUCAGUGAGGACUUUGGUACAACAGAAAGUGUUAAGUUUGUGACAUUCUCUAGAUUACUCCGAUCACUAGUGUGGAUAAGUAUGUAAAUGGAUAAAGACAGGGAAGCAAACACAAGAUGUACGUGGUUCACCCAGAUUGGCUACGUCCAUGGAGUAAAUGAGUUCUUAUUAAUUGUGAAGGGUUUACACAAGUAUAUAGGUUCAAGCUCUCCUUUAGUGAGUACUAGUGAAUGAUUUAGUACAAAUGACAUUAGGAAAUAUUGUGAGAGAAUGAUCUCUAUUUAUAGAAGAGAGUUUCUAGUUUCAUUCUGACAUUGACACGUGUCAUGUUGUGAUUGGCUUCUGAUGUUGACAUGUGUUGCACUAUGAUUGGCUUUAGAUGUCAACAUGUGUCGCGUUGUGAUUGGCCUCCUGGUUUGAGGGAAACUCUUCUGGCUCCUUGACGGUAUAACGUUGAUCGAUGCUCAGUAGUUUCGGGAUUGGUCAAGUAUGGUACAAACAGGUGUAAUAUAAUCAUACUCAAUACUACUCUCACAUAAUAGCUGGGUGAUAAAUCGCUAGUCACCUAUGAGUCAGAACGAUAAUAAAGGUCUGUACGAAGACUGUGCACCUAAAUUGGAUCCAAUAUGACCAUAUGGUGCGGGAUGUGACAUUAUAUACAGGCUUGUGCCAUCACUGGCGGAGCUACACCCACGGCUACAGUAGGCUGUAGCCUAGGGAGGAUUUUAACAAACUGCUGGUAUAAUAGUUUAUAUAUGAGUUUGUUGUUGCUUAUUGUAUGUAUAAUAGCCCACAUAAAUCCUGCCAAAAUUAUUAGUUAAUGUGUUUCUUAAUUUAUAAAUAAUACUUUUAUUACCUUUUAUUAUUUUAUUAUUUUUAGGCUAAAAGUAAAAAUGGUAAAUUAAUACAUAAUUAGGUUUCUCCUAUUCCCCAUGCUUUUUACCUAUUCGUUCAAAACAAAAAAAUUAAACCCUCUACCCUAAGAAAAGAAAAACUAUGAAUCACCAUCAAAUUAUUUUCUAAUGAAAUUCAACACUAGAUAUGCUCUUCAUGUCUUCAUUUAACCUAUUUCUUGAUUCAAUUGUUCAUUCCAUAUAUCUACAGCACGACUUGAAUUGGUAUCCCCUAACCUUUUUUCUUUUGGGUACUUGUUAUCAACAAAAGUGAUAAUAUUUGUUCUCUUUCUAUUGCUUUUUUGUAUGCAUGUUUUAUUUGUGUAAAAAUUAGUUGGAAAGUAAUUAAUAAACUUGUUUGGAUUAUUAGUACUUCAUGUUCCUACUUUUAUGUAGAUUACUAUAUAAUUUUAUGUAGGCAAAAAAAAAAUUCAUAAGAUUAUAUGCUAAUGAUUUUAGUUAGCCCACCCAAGAAAAAUUUUCUGGCUCCGCUAUUAUGUGCCAUAACUCUGGCAAAAUCACAAUCACCCUAAGUGCAGUUUUAUGAGUUCAACGUUAUUCUAUCACAUAUCACAUCAUCGAUAAUUCACAUAACCAAACAUAACUCACAUGAGCUUACCUGAGCGUCCACAGUACCAUAAUUAUAUAUAAUGCAUCAUAUACGAAAUAUAAAUUCAUAUGCAUGGCAUUUAAGGUAUACUUUCAUUUAAACACAUAUUUCUGGGAAAAUAUCAAGUAUAUAAAUAUAUACUGAAAACCAAAAGCCCACUCAUUGGUAUGUCGAAGGGUCGUAGCCCCCGAGUCGCCUUUGAAUACUCUCGUCCUCGUGAUAAGUCUCACCUAUAUGCGAAUUAACUAUAAAAACGUUAUUUUAGAGCACAUACAAAAAAUUAGCUAAUAACUCUCAUACAAUGCUCAAUUUUUGUAUUUGAAUAUAUCACAGUGACCUACACAACCUCAAGAUCAUCCCUAAAUUUUUACAAUAUUUUUCUGACCCCUCACGCGCUGCCACGCACCGGCAAGGGCAACGCCUUACUCGCCCCCACGCGCGGCCACGUGACAAGCAUACUGAUGGCGUCAAUCAACAUCAUCAGGAAUAUUCUAGGGAAUAUUCUGUUAAAACCCAAUGGUAACUGUUAAAGAUGACUGACGGCAUGAGCAUAUUCUGUCAACCUUGACGGAAUAUACUCCUUUCUUCUCCGAUGAGUCGUCGGUCGCCGGCGACUUCGCCGAUUUCUUGGUAAAACUUUAAAUCGCUUAUUCUUCUUCGUUUCUUCGCCAUUUUUCAUGAAAUUGGUACCAAAAUGAAGCUAAUAACAUGUAGAAUCACUUUGUAUAAGUUUCAAGGCUUAAAAUCUACUAGUUUUUCCCUGAGAAAGCUCGAUAGUUCGGCUUACCUAGAUAUGCGUCGAUCUCAGCCCUCCGACGUCCAAUUCCUUCCAACGAAGUACCCCAAGACUCGUGAGGACCUCCUUAAGCUUCCUAUAAGCUUCAAAUUCCCUGAAACACAAGAUUUUACGUAUGCAUGAACAAUGCACAAAGUCGGAGCUAGGGUUUCCACGUGAAAUCGAAGGUUUCCUUACCUGAAAAUGGUUCCUUUGAAUUCGUAUGGUUCUCACGAACACAAUGGUGAUCUUAAAACCUUCGAUCUACAAGGUUUAAGAGGGUUUCUGGGUUGGUCCGUACGAAGAAGGGAGAGAGAGAAUGAGAAUCUGCGAGAGAGAGGGCACGGGAAGGAAAGAGAAAUAAGAUAGGUGUGUGUAUGGUCCAAAAGCCACCAAUCAAAACUAAGAAAAGUCUUAGUUGUAAUUGGGUCACCAAUCUAAAACAAUUUAACCCAAUAAUAACUUACACACAUCAUUUAACAUCCGAGGGUAAUUCCGUCAUUCUACGUCAUCGAGAAUAAUCUUCCGGGACGGGCUGUGACAAUAUCAGCAAUAUUUAUGUUAAUUAUGAAUAGGUCAAUCAUGUAUUUAAUACUUAAAUGUAUUUAAAAUAAACACCUUAUCAAUGUUUUCUGAACUGUGCUCGAUUUUUCUCCUUCGCUUUGGUUCUGUCCCAUUGGAUUUUUCAAGCAAGAUUUUAUCAAGGCAACUAUCAUUAACUGUGAACAUAAUUUAUCAUUGAGACACGAACAUCCAAGGGGGAGUGUCGUGGAAAAAAAUGUAGAUAUCUUUAUACGUUGUAUGGUAGUAAACCAUCAUAAACACCAUAAAUAUGUAGAAACGCCCUUGCGGUACCUUUGAAUGAUAACUCAUGUAUUUGUUGCCCUAUGUAAAGAUGGCUAAUGAUAAUGGAAGACUAAUUUUCUCAUCCCAAUCUCUCCUGUCUCUCUUAUUCUCUUUUCUCUAUAUUUUAUUUCCAACAAGUUGUGUUUUUUUUUUAGUAUUGUUAAGCAACCCAAUAGAUUUUAAUCGUAGUCUUUGUUUUUUUUCUUUUAUAUUUUUAAUCAAUUUCAGUUGCUUAUCAGUUCUAGCUAAUUGAGCUCUUUUACAGCAAUUUUUUUCUUUAAAUAAAAUUAUUAUUAUUAAAAAGAGUGAGAAAAUUCGAAAUUGUUACAAUAAUUUAAAAAAAAUAGGAGUUUCAAAUCAUGAAGGUAGAGGGAGUUAACAACAUUUUAGGGGGGGGUGUAGUCAAACUAGGAUUUUGAAGGAUUUUAAAAGUGAUAGAUUUGAUAGGAUUUAAGAUGAUUAAAGACUCUUACAAAAUUCAUAUGGAUUUUAAAGAAUAUGAAUGGAUUGCGGUGGAUUGUGGGGGAAGGAUUUGAAAUCCUAGGGGGUGAGGUUUGAUUCUUUUUAGUUUUGGUUAUAUAUGGUAUGCUUUCAAAUCCCAGAAAAUCCACAACUUUUUAAAAUCCUUUAAAAUCUUAAUUUUUUUAAUACACUUAGAUUUGGAUGGAUUCUAAAAUCCUUUAAAAUCUUUUAAUUGACUACACCUAGAUUUGAAUGGAUUCUAAAAUCUUUUAAUUGACUACACCUAGAUUUUAAUGGAUUCUAAAAUCCUUUAAAAUCUUUUAAUUGACUACACUAUGAUUUUAAAGUCUUUAAAAUCCUCUCAAAUCCAAGUUUGACUACACCCCCUAAAGAUUUUAAGGAAAACUAAUGAAAAUGGCUUGAAAACUUUGAGUUUUAACUAGGGGUGGGCAAACGGGUACAGGAACCGCGGGUAGGGGUGGGUAAUUCAAGUUCGGGGCAGGUAUGGGACAUGUCCAAUAUUUCUAAACACAAAACGGGGCGAGGCUGUUCGGGUAUAUGAAAUUAUCGGGGCGGGGCGGGUCUUAAAAUAGAAGGGAACGGGCCCCCAGCCUGACCCGUUUCUUUUCCUCAUCCCUAGUCUUCUCUAUCUCUCUUCCCCGACACUUUUCAUUUCACUCAAACCCGGCCCAUUUCUUUUCCUCAUCAGUCAUCCCUAGUCUUUUCAAUCUCUCUUCCCUAACUCCUUUCAUUUCACUCGUACCUCGAGACCUCCUCUUAACUCGCUCCCAGCCUCCCACCGUCCUAGCUCCGUACCUCGCCAUCAUCAUCGUCAGACCUCCAUCUCUCCUGAUUUACUCAUGUCUUCCUCGCUGCGUCCGCCGCCAUGUCUCUCUUUCUGUGACGAACUUAAAGGGACGGACGAAGUUGAACAACUCGAAACGACGCCUCUUCUGUCUGAAUUAGACCCAUAUUUGCAGCGCACGACUCUGCUCAUAGUCCUCUUCGGUUUUAAGGUAUUACGUUUUAGAGAUUUAGGAUUGAAAAUUAAAUUAGGGUUUUCUAGAUUUAGGGAUUUUGUUGGGUUCUUGAACCUUGACCUCUGUUAUGUUCCAAUUUCAAAUAUAUAUUGAAUUGAAUUUGAAUCGACUGUGUUUGAAACUUCUGUUGAAUUAAAUUGAAUUUGAGCAGGAGAAGAGGCAGAUGUGGGUUGGGCAAUGUCGAAUCUCAUUGUGGGUGGUGAGGUGGGCAUGGCGGGCGACAAUAUUGACUGGCAAUGGUACGGGCGGUGCUAUUAAGUUGCAGAAGAAUACGAAGGAGGGGGUGUGGGCAUGGGUGGAUAUCGCAAGCUCAAUUGAAUUUUUUCUGGUUUUGUUUGUGAUUAAUUGCUUGUAUAUGAUAGUUAUUGAUGGAUCUUGACAUGCCCAUUUAAUUGUUAUUGGCAAUGCUAGUUUGAUUGUAACAAAUUCAAACCGAUUGAAUUGUAUCCCAGAAAAAAAAAUCAAUAAAGGAACUGAGGACCCGGCCCGAACCAGCCCAUUUCAACCGGGCCAGGUUAGGUUCGGUUCUUAUAUUAGAAAAUGUUGUUCCCGGCCCGUUUCUCUUAAGCCCGGAUCCAGUCCGAUCACUUCGAAAUUGGCCCCAACCCGGCCCGGGCCCACCUCUAGUUUUAACGAUAAGGACAAAAUAAAGGGUAAAGUGAAUAGUACCAAGUUUGACUUUUUAGUGUAAAAAUGUAAUUUUUCGUUAAAAUAAGAUUUUAAUGGAUUCUAAAAUCCUUAAUUAAGAAAUUAGGCUUCAACCCAACUCAUCUUUGCAACGCCGGUUCCACUUCACAUCAACAGGCAAUGUUUUCUCCUCAACAAAUAGUAUUCUUUUAUGAGACAAAGACUAAUGAGGGUGAUAUAUAUAAUUAAUAAUAAUACUUGUGUUCCCUUUGUGAGUGAAUGCACUUAUUUUACCAUUCUCUAAUAAUGUAUCUUUAUUAUAUAAAUUUAUAUCAUGUGGAUAUCUUCCUAUAAAAAAGUUAUUCAAAUUGGAAAUCCUUACGUCAUCAAAAUAUAUAAAAAAAUGGACGAUCUCAUCGUAAAUAUGUUAGUUACUCACACUAUAACUUUGUAUAUUCCCUCACGUAGGAAACGCAAUAAUUAUCCUCUAAUUAAUUCUUCUUGAGAGUAGAAUUUUUAUUGUUGGUUUUUCGCAACCUUCAGACCUAAAGCUGAUAUGGACCUCUCAUUGUUUUUUGGGUUGCCGUUCUUAUUUUGCUUGGUCCUUUUACCUUUUCUAUAGUUGUUUAUCUAGUUCUUUUGAGCCUCGUACUAAUUUUUAAUGUAAUGAAAAUUAUCUUCGUGAUAAAAAAAAAAAUCAUUAGUCCUCGUAUGAACAUGCGAUGUAACACACUUUCAUGGAACAACAGAUGAUAAAGACGAUAUCCAAAUUUUCUCUGUGUUAUGUGGACUUUCCCAACCAAAUAAAUAAUAACCAAUAAACAAAUAAAUAAGAGUUUAACUUCAAACAUUGAGAAGCGAAAUUCCAACACUACGAGCCUAACUUUUGUCUUCAUCAUCAUCAUAGACUAGUCUCCUAUCCAUCAACUCCUACAUCAAUUUUUUUUUUUACUAGAUUGUAGCUCACUUUCAAAAGAGUUACGUAAAGUAUUUAAGCACCAUAAAAGAAAAUUAAACGACAACGAUUGACAUAAUAUUAGUAGUAUCAUGGUCUAAAAUAUUCAUAAUAUCUUGAUAUUUUUAUUGAAAUUUUCGUGUUUUUAGACUACCUAUAUUUUCAAUAUCAUCGAUAUUUUAAACCUUGCUAAGUCACUCAUGUAUCUUACCAUGCAAUGUAUAAAGUGUAAAAUAUUGUACUAAUUCAUUAUAUAUAAAUGAUUAUAGUGUGUUUAAACUUCUUUCAUUAAUUACUACAUAUUUUCUACACUCACAAUGUUUGCCAGCUCGCUAUAUAAUCAACUUAAAUCAAUUAUAUCUAUCAUGUAAUGCAUUUCCUUCCAAUUUUUUGUGAUAAACUAAUAGAUAAUUGACUAAAUAAACAUCCUGCAAAGUUUCAAUAAAAAUUUCCAAGUUUUUCUUACAAUUUCCGUAGUUUUUAUUCAAUUUUUAUCGAUAUCGAUAAUAUCCCGAUAUUUCCAUCGAAAUUUCCGUAUUUUUAGACUACUGAUAUUUCCGAUAUCAUCGAUAUUUUAUACCUUGGUAGUUAUACAUUUUAUCGGCCUCAUUUUUAUGCAACUUAUACAUUAAAUUAUUGUCAAAAUGUACAUAUAAAGUAGCUGAUCAACGAUGAGAUUUUAGGCAACCAUUUUCUUCUACGACGUCAAAGGUUGUAGAGGUGGCCAUGUGCACUACAUGCGUAAAUCAACUAGGGACUUGGAUCCUCUCUUAAGCCCAAGGAGAGGAUCCUCCUAACCAAAUGACUUGGAUUGUUGGAUGAAAAUCUAACGAUUACAAACAGAUGAUCUCUUUAAAGUUAUAAUAUUUAUUACCGUUGAAUUUUCAUCAAACGGUCAAAUAUCAUUGGUCAAAAGGGUCCUCUCAUUGGGCUCAGAGAGGACCCAAGUGCAUCAACCAGAACUAUUGCUAUUAUAACAAUUCAUGAAAUCAAUUAAACAAUAAUUUUCCUUCUGGCAGGCAUGUUAGUUAUUUCUUAUUUGGCCAAUUGCCUAGUGGAUUUGGUAGAUUUAACCUCUCCACCACAAACACAUUUAAAAAUUUCCAGAAAUCCGUAACGUAAAAUUUAAAAAUAAAUAUUAAUAACAGCAAGUUCUUUUCACCGACCGUGACCGAGAUCUGUCACAUAUCCAAAAUGUCACCUCCUUAUCGCAAAAACCAAAUUUGACUUGGGAUAAAUACCGUGUACAAAUUAAACGCGUUUCUCUAGCUUUUGCGUAAAGAGGCAACCCAACACUAAACUAGGAAAACGUUGGGUUGACAAAGAUACCAUGAAGAAUAAAGGGGUUAUGCAAUCCACUUUGCAAGAUAAUCAAAGUUUCCCGUUGUAGACUUGUCUUAACCCAACACUAAACUAAGAAAACGUUGCUUUCCCGUUGUAACAUGAAACAACAUUAAACAACAUUAAACAAUAUUAAAUAACAUUAAAUAACAUAAAAAUUAUACAACAUAAAAAAAACCAUUUAACAACAUAAAACUUAAAAUGCGUACUUCUUGCUUCUUGUGGCCUAAAGAUGUGCAACAAGAUCUUGAUGUAGGUACUUGUUUGUGGCACGAAAACGUAUCAUCCUAGCCGUUGGAUUUGAAUUUUUUUUGUUUUCGGCCAAAAAAUUUUAAAUUUAAAAGUUGAAGAUGGUGAGAAAUAUGAUCCUACACUGUUCAUUAAAAUAUUAAUUUCUUGAAUGACCAAAAGGCUAAAACAAGCCAUCCUUCGGUUGGAGAUGCCUAAGGAGAGACUAGAGAUAGAGAGUUUCCUAUAUAUGAUUUUCAUUAACAAGAUUGAAAUGAUUUCAGAGAGAAGAUCAAGUAUGGUUAUUUUUAUUUUGUAGAGUGUAGACAUUAUAACUAUACAUUCAUAAUAACAUGAGUAAUGUUAUAUUUAUCACAUUUGUACUCUUUCUCUGAUAAAGGUAGGGUUCAUCAACACAUGUGGGUUCUAUUUGCCCAUCAACACAUGCGGAUCUCAUUUUUAUUAGAAAAAUAGUACAAAUAUGGUACGGAAAAUAUGAUAAGAUCGCAAUUUUGUAAUAACAUAUAUACUCAACUAUUUAUAUACCGACCCAUCUCCUUUUAGUGUAGAUAAUAUCGUUUGUUAAAAAAAAUGUUGAACUUGUCAUAAUCAUUGAAUCCAUUUACCAUGAACAAACGGCAGUUUACUAAACUUGCCCUCAGAGUAUAUAUAAAAGGUGAAUCACAAUCUAUUGCAUUAAUAUAAGGAAACAAUUUAUAGGGUUUGACGGGUGACUUAAUAUGCUAUAUGGCACAAUGAAAAUUAAGUUCACACUUUAUCCCAAAUAAGGUGUUGCACCUUUAAUUUAUGGAUGCUGGUUUGACGUGUGACCGAAAUAAUCAAAUUGUAGCCAUUAAUCAUUUUACAAGUAAUAAUAUGUAGUUUUUACUGUUUACGAUUCACACAACAAUCUGCUAGGAAGUAGAAAAUGCAGUACUUGUCCCUCUCACAGAAGUCAUGAAUAAUUAUCAAAUUCAAAGAUAAAGAAAAACCACACAAUUUACAAGAGGAAAGAAAAUGAAGGGAUAAAGAAAGUAAGAAAGGAAUACCUCUAUGGGAGGACUCUUAUUUGCUUCAGAUGCCUACAAUAUUCAUCAUAUAAACACUGAUUAAGUAGUCAUCGAAAACCAAAACAAAUGUCGAACAUAGGGUGAAAAACAGAAAGAAUAACCGCAGCUCAUCAUACCAAUAGAGAUAGAACUGCCCGAUGCCCAAGUAUGACUGAAAAAUGGCAAUCCAAACAUGGCGCCUUCUAGCUCAUCAAACUGUCAAAACCUAGGUUCCACCAAAAAGAUACAAGUCACCUAGUUACUUGUAAAAUAAAAAUCUGUUUCAAAAUAGUGGAAAAUAUUAUUAACAUUGUUCAAAGUCCACAUUGUUGUACCUACCAAGAAACAAGAAGGAUUGUAUCUUAUCAUGAAAAAGAACAUAGGUACCUUUUCAAUUGUAAUUGUACAAAAAUGAGAGACCACUUCCGAACUUCUCUUGGAACUUCAAUCAAUUUCUGCCCACUUUUAAAUGCCUUGACAUACUUAAGCCUAUUUCUUUGAGCUUCAGUUUUGGCUUCUGAUGCCUUUAAAUUUCUUAAAGAUUCUUACCAAGUUUUACAAACUCACUUCUAUACAACCAUUUGUCAGUAUACAUACCAUUUUCUUUGAGCUUCAGUCUUUGCAACACCAAAACCCCCCAAAUAGACCCGGAAUUUUGCAAUGUGCAGGGAAUAUACAAAAAAAACCCUCCUAUCCAUCUAAAACGAAAUCAGAACCCAAACCACAAUCAAAAUCCGUAAAAUUAAUUUAGCCAACCCUAAAUCUAAUAAUUCUAACAAAUAUUAUAGUAUCAAUUGAGAGAGAAUUUGAGAAGAUACCUAGAGAUGAAAGGAAGAGCGUUUCCUCUGAUAGGGGUUCCGUGAAAGCAUCUGUUGACCAGAAAAGAAAAGGCAAAAAACCCCAAAUUACAUAUCAAGCAAUUAUAGAUAGAUCGAACCUUGAAAAUUGAAAUUUCAAACAAGAGAAAGGUUAUAAACUUACAACGAUCUGGGUGUUGGUUACUGGGUUUGGAUUUGGGUUUCUGAUAAGAGAGAGAAUCGUAUGAGGAACCGAUAGAGGAACUGCACCGGCAACAGAGAGCAACUGAUAUGGUGGAGAAUAGAGAUGGGCAAAAUAUCCCGGUUAUCCGCCCAUUUAAAGUUCACAGUUACGGUUAUGGUAAUUGAACGGUUAUGGGUACUACCCGUGGUUAUAACGGGUAUCUAUUGGUUAUGGGUAUUAUCCGCGGUUAUAACAGGUAUUCAUUUACCCAUUUAAUUUCAUAUAUGUAAAAUUUAUAAUAUUUUUAACAGUUAUAACGCGUUUUUGUAUUUGUUGCCAAACUUUUCGUAUACAAAAAAUUUGAAGCACAAGAAGCCAACAAGGAGAAAGAUCAAAGAGCUUACUUGAAGCUUAUGAUCUAUCCUGCGGUUAAUAGAAAGUACUGGUAUUAGUGUAGAAAAAUGUUUGUUUUUAGAAGCUUUAUUUUGUAAUCAUAUGAAUUAUAAUUAAAGACUUGCUUGGGUGUAGUAAAAAAAUAUCGUUUGUAAACUAUUAUUUCAAUUAUUAGAAUUGUAUGAUGACCUAAAUGAUUAAAAUAGAGAAAUGCAUGCUAAAAUGUAUUUAUAACAGUGUUUAAUUGUCAGAUUUUUUUUUUUUUUGUAAUUUUCAAGUUGUUAAAAAAAACAUGCAGAGAGGUGAAAAAAGGGAUUAAAAAAUGAUAAACGGGUUCAAAACGGGUAAACGGGUAAAUGAUUAUGGUUAAAUAGGUAAACGGUUAUGGGUAAAUGGGUACACGGUUAUGGGUAUGAGUAUAACCGUUUAUGCAAUUACCCAACGGGUAAACGGCUAUGUGGGUAUGAACAUAAAUGGUUAUGAGUAAAUAACCGCGGUUACCCGCCCGCUAUAACCAUUGCACAUCCCUAAUAGAGAACAUACGAGAAUAGCCGCUUGGAUGGUCAAUCCAAGAAGAGAAAAUCUUGCCACAAUCACGGUACUUGAAAAAAAAAACAAUUUUAAAGGAGGGAAACAAUCGCGCCUUUUUUUUAAUAGACUCUGUCGACGAUAUUCUUGACAAAUAGUCGGGUGAGCUUAUUUUUCACAACAUUUUAUUUAGGACUAGGUUCGGUUGGCAAAUCGUGUCAAAUUUCUUGUGCCAUUUGCCAGCCACAUAUACAUAAUUACCAAAAAUCAGUUACCGUUCGCCAACCAUCUUCUUGCGGUUGCCAAAAAUCGGUUCAACCAAAAUGAUUGGCUGGUUCGGUUGGUAAAUGGCACAACCGGUGGUUUCCACUUCUUCCUCGCUAUCUUCUAGUUGCAAGGGCUCAAUUUGAUUUUCAGAUUGGGAUGCUUGUUCGGUUGCAUUGUGUGGUUCAUUUUGGGUUAAUCCAUGUUGUGCACUAGCAAUUAAUUGGCUAGACUCCAUCAUCCUAAACAUAAGCAACACAUAUACAUUCAAAAUCAUAUAUAUGUACGUGUAUAUAUAGUAUCAGUAAUCAUCAUGUUAUCAAUUUUGUUAACAAUAUUUUCUAUAUUGAUUAUGGCAUGAAUCAUAUACAUAUACAUAUAUUUUUUAAACCCUAAAACUAAGGAGUUAUUUAUUUUCUAAGCCCUAAAAUUGAGGAGUCAAGCAUGUAAAAAAAUACUUAAAAUAUCUAAAUAGAAAAAGAAAAAAAAAAAAAAAAAUAUAUAUAUAUAUAUAUAUAUAUAUCGGUAGGUAUGGCAUACCGCCGACAUACAAAAUCAAUUACCAAAGCCAUGCCAUUAAUUGUCGGUUCGGUAAAAUGCCAACCGAUUAUGAAAAAAUGCCAAAACUAUACCAUACCAUUUUGAGCCAACCGGUAUGGUUCGGUCGGUAAAUCGGCUUAUGGCAAAAUUUCUCACCCCUAAUUUUAUUUGUCGCCUUAAACCUAUUGGUUUCUAGCCUACAAUUUGGAUAUUUUGUUGGGGAAAGAUUUUUGUACCAAUAAAAUUUUGCUUUGUCAGCUUAGGAUUUGUCGGCAAAAUGACAUUUUCUAGUCGUUAUAAUAUUAGGUAGAUCAAAUUUGUAAACUAUGUGAUGUGUCACCAAUAGGAAAAAAAUUCAGUGUGCUGAAAAUACAGUCUAGAACACCAAGUGUCAUAAUAUAUACUUGGUUGGAAAUUUUUUAUUUUCAAGUUUCCAACUAAUUGUAUUGUAACAGUUGGUGUUCCAAGCUAUUUUCUCGAUGCGUUGGAAAAUCUCUUCACCAAUUAAAAAUAAACAUAUUAAUUAACACUUAAGUAAUAAUCAAAGUAUCAACAACUACGUCAUAAAAUUUACGAAAUAUGAUCUUAAUUAAUGAUCUCCAUGGCAUUACCCUUUAUCUUAGCGUAUACGUACGCCUUCACAUGUUUAUUUGCUGAUAUGCAGCUUGAGUAAAAAUUUCUUUUUAAGAACAUAUAUGUGAAUAUAAACAUAUAUAUCUAGUGAUCCAUGUUGCGUUAUUUAAAAAUAAACAAAUUAAUUAAUUAAUAAAUGAACUGUGUGCAUGUCUGUGUAGAGUAAUCCAUAUGCAUGCUUGAAUCCUGAUCACCACGAAACCAUAAUAUAAGCUACUCAAGGCCCGGAAGCUAGGAUUGAAGAGAAAAACACCCAGUCAGAUUAAGCCAAUAUAUCAAAGUUAAUACUUCGAAAUGUAAGCUUUAAGAUAGAAAAAUCACUUACUACCUUGAGCAGUCGAGCUUCUUCAAUGGCAUGAAGCUUUUAGCAUGAGAUUGACUGCAUCACAACUAAAAUUUUCUCUUGGAAACUACAUAAGGAAUAGCAUGUAUACCUAUAACGUUGAGAAAGUACGCCAAUUUUUUCCUUCUGCACAUUCAUGUUUAAAAGUAAUCCUCAAAUGAACUUGCCCACAAUGAAAUGCAAUUUGAGGUAGUCGAGUGUGUUCCAUUUCCAUUCCAUGGGAAUUACUACUAAACUUUGAGAUGGUAAAGGAUUCAUGAAAUUUUUUACUUUUGAGAUAGCCUCUUUAACAUUUCUCGACUAUAACAAUGAGGGAAUACUUCACCUUGUAUCAAACAAGGGAGAGCGAAAAUCAACUACUAAUAGCAUCACAGAGCCAGCAGAAGAUUGAGGAGGCCAUGAAGAGGAGAGAGAAAAUACACUCUUUUUUUUUGUAAGGACAGAGAUAAUACAUUCAGUAAGGGGUACUGAUGUUUAUAUGCAAUGCUGAUUAGGUUUAAAUAGUCCUAUUUAUUCUGUACAGUGCCAAUAUUACCACCCGUUAGUACACUUUCAAGACACUGUACUCCAGUGUGUGCGCUAUGCAGUACGUAGUACUCCUCAUUUUUUGGGGAAAUUCAUUAUUGGUCUUCAUAUCUUCUUUAUUUUCCUUUUCCUCAUUGUGCCACGUGUUUAAAUCACUAAUUGUAGGUAAUCUUUCAAUUUAAUUAAAUCUUAUGUAAAAAAAGAUAUUUAAAUAUCAUUUAGUAUUACAAGAUAGUGAUAUUCCUCUUUAGUAUAAAAUUUUUAUAAUUAAAAGCGUUCAGUUUUUUAAUCUUCAUUUGAAUACUAUCUAUAAAGAAAAAUUAUUCGAAUAAGAGAUCGUUUAUGCAUUCAAAUGUACAAAAUGCAUCGACAGUGUGAGAACGAAUUAAUAUAUUUUUGAUGAAGUACAAUUAUUGAAUACAUUUGAAUGAUCAAAUGAUAUAUGAUUCAAAAUACAUAUUAAGAUAAUAAAUAUAAGUGAAUUGUUAUUAGCACUCCAAGAAUCUUAUUAUACACUCUAAAUUUUCUAUAUUUUGAAUGAAAAAUAAAUUUAUGAAGAGUGUAGAAUGAGAUUUUUUAAUGCUAAUAACACUUCUCUAAAUAUAAUUAUGAAAUUAAUAAAGUAAAGAUACAUGACCUCGUGAAUGAUGUAUGUAUUAUUCAAAAAAUUAUUAAAAACAAAUUGAAAAAGGACGCUGUUGUUGCCACCACUUAUGCAAUGAUCGUCGCUGCCAUCACCAACCCCCAACACCCCAUUACAGCUCAUAAAAGCACAUCAUAAGCAAUUUAUGAAAUAAAUUUACUGGAAUACUAAUUUCCCCCUUAGUUUAGGUCACCAAUGUUUAAAUUUAGGGGUGUGAUAUGCACAUACCUUUUUUUGCUUCUCUCACACUUUUUUUGUUGUUGUCGAAUCAGAUGAAUUGAAGAAGAUCAAUUGACAGAAAUUAACAAGGGGUGUAUGAAAAGUAAAAAUGGAUGUGUAGAUAACACAUCCCUAAAUUUAUCACAACUUUCAUUCCAAAUUUAAUUUUUAUGCGUAGUUUUGUUUGUUCAAAUUUACUUUGACAUUUCAAUUAGUAUUAAAAUCUAAUUUAAAUUUUAGCGUUCAAGCUAGAAAAAGUGUUCCAUUUAAUAUUUAAUCUCAGUUUUUCUCUUUAUUCUUUUAUUCCGAUUUGGUUGCAUCGUAUCUCCAUUUUUCUCGGUGUUGUAUGUUCAUAAGGCCUGGGAAACGUUGGCACGGAGUGAAGGGUACUCACUUUUUGGCCCAAAAUGCAUAAGGCAUGUAGAUAUGUUAAUCAAAUUUUGUAAACUAAAGGAUAUAGAAGUUGAUACUUAGAUUAUAAUUUAAGAUAAUACUAAAGAGACUAAAUUUGCAAACUAAAUGAUGUGUCACCAAUAAAAAUAAGCACGUUUAUCAACGCUUAAGUAAUAAAUCAAUCAUCAACUUUCAUGUCCUUUAGUUUCCAAAAUUUAAUAUACAAAUUUAGUCUCCCAAGCAUUACUCUAUUACUUAAGUAUUGAUUAACAGACUUAUUUCUUAUGGUGACAUAUUAUUUAAUUUACAAAUUUAGUCAACCCAACAUUACUCUUUUGAAAUUGUCUUGUCCACUGAUAUAAUUCUAUUUUUCUUGUGAUCAAAACUUCAAAUGUUAGCAAGUCGCACGUAAAGUCACUUCUGAGAGAAUGUGCUCACAUUGUAGUUGAAAGAUUAUGUGGCUAGCAACAUUACAAAUUUAAUUUGGUAUAAUUUAAAAUAUAGAUUGAGGAAAAAAUGAUCACAUUAACUAGAAACUGAAAAGGUUUCAGCACAGUUUGUUCAAGCAAGAAACUCAAUUUUGAUGCUACCGAUCUUAACAGCCUGAGCGCCGUACCUGGGCACUAAAGUCACCACCACACUCUCAUCAUCUUCAGCACCCAAAUCCUCCAACAGGUCCGUUAACCCCAACCUUAAACAACUCUUGCUCUUUUCCUUCUGCUUAUGUGGAACACUCACAAAACUCCCAGCAAACUCGCUCUUGUCGGGUCCACUCGGUGCCGCAUCCUCAUCGUCCACGUCAUUCACAUACACAUCAAACUUCACAGCCACAUCUUUGUCAAGCUCAAUCCCCUGAAUCACCAGUAUCUCCUCCUCAUCCUCUUUCUCCUUCUUGCUCCUCUUCUUCGGCUUCGGCCUUGACACCACCGUACUUAUCUUUGUCUCCAAAUUUAUUGGAAAAUCUUUACCCGCCACCACCUUCCCCGAUGACGUCGUCUCAGCGGCCUUCGCCACUCCAGCCGCCUUUGCCUUUCUCGCAAGCUUUGUCCGACGUGGCGUCGGUCUAGACUUGAGCCAUGGAAUCUCAACAUCUUCAUACGUAUACCCUAGCUUUUUAUUAUCAAGAGUGUCCCUCACCGUGACCCUAACAAGCUCAGCAUUCUCGUCAUAAAACAAAAACCCCGUAUCCAACCAAUCCUUAUCGUUAAUAUCUUUAUUUUUAGUCCCUAUACUUUUCCAAAUAUUCCACAUUCGAUCUAUAUUCGAAUGGUGCGAAAAAAAUAUUGGAUCCCUUGCAGCGGAGUAAAAAUUCCCCAUGUCUUCAAAAUUAGGUUGCGUGUUAUCUCCGGUCCAUGUAUGAACCGGACCAUGUGGGGUCGUUUCGAUUGAACCGGCCCCUGGAUCUGGUUCGGUGCCAGCCCUGUAGGGCGAACCAAAGAACAACAGCGGUUUCUUGGAGUUGGAAACCAUCUGCCUAUACAUGAUUUUGAGGUUGGCGUCGAUUUGAGCAUCCUUGGACAUUGUUUCAUCCGUGCCGUUAAAGUCAAGAUCGAUGAGAGUCGGCGGCUGAUGGCUGGCAGCGCGGAGCUCGUCGUAAAGCGGAGAGUCCGGGUUAGCGAACAAGGCAGGGAGUUGCAUGCCAGCUGGCGCGUCCCAGUUCCAAAACGGCAACGCGAACGUCGGAUCGUCUAUGAGUUUGGCCAAGAUUCUUUCGUGGAAGUAUAGGUAGUAACGAUGGAAGGGGAAGAAAAGCCAGGAUUGAUGGAUUUGGAGCUCGAGGUUGGGGAAGCCGACUUGAUCGUACGCGCCGUCGCAAUAGGCACAGUGGAUAUCGGCUUGCUGGGUGAAGCUACGCGGAUCGUCGUCCGGGAGGGCUUUCAUGAGCUCGAUGGCUUUUGAAUAUUUUUCGAUGUAGGCUUUAUCCACGGUGUGAGCUGCCGGCCUGACGCGGAGUUUGGUAGGGGAGGGGAAUUUGAAGUCUACGAUUUUUUGGGACGUUGGCGGGCAACAGUUGGUCGGGACUGCUCCACUUGGAAAGUCCGCACCUCCGCAUUUGGCUAGGUCAGGCGGCGACACUGGCUUUGCAACAGCGAAGGGGUCGCUGCCAAGACCAGCCACUCCACCGUACAGGCUUCCGAGACCUAUAAGUACAUGUCUUCUGUCUAGGUUUACUGGAGAAAGGUUUUCAUGGUCGUGAUCGUUGGAGCUAGUGGAAGGGUUUUUGUUUUGGUCACUACUAUUAUUCGUGGCUUUGCAUGAGACGGCUUGUAAAUUGGAAUGCCUAGGGUUUUCAAAUAAGGAAAUUCGGUGAUACUUUUGGGAGAAAGGGAAGAGAGAAGUUGUGGGGAUGAUACUUGUGGUGGAGGUGACGAGUGGAGCUGACAUAGAAGCCAUGGUUACUUGACUCUGAAUACUACGUUGUAUAGGCUUUGCUUUUAUAAUGUGUUCUAGGUUUUACUUUUCUUUGCACAGGUGGCAGGCCGUACACAUUGGCGGUCCUUAAGGGUUUGACGAGGAAUACUACGUAGUCAUUUAGUACAGGGCAACCAUGCACUAUAGCACGUGGCAUGUAAUAUUUACGUAGUCUCAGAAGGUGAAGCGGUUUUGGGCUUCUUGUGUACCAAUAAUAUUUACGUACUCAUUAUUCCACUGGAUGGAUUGCGUGCACGUGAUCUUUAUUCAAACAAAUCACUAUUGACCAUAUAUUGCAAUUGGUUAAUGUUAGGCAAAUUAAAUUUUUACAUCAAAUAAUGUGGUUGCUGAUUAUUGAAUUAUUAUUUAAGUUUGAUUAAUGUGCUUAUUUUUUAUCGGUAAUACAUCAUUUGAUUUGCAAAUUUGAUUUACCUAAUAUUACCAGUUAUAAUUUGUAUAAAUGGACUGGUACCUAACAUUACCAAUUGUAAUUUGUAUAAAUGGACUCGUACCUAACAUUACCGGUUGUCCCAAGAGCACACGCUACUGCUCAAGAAGCAAAGUUCUUAUUUGCCCAAAAAAAAUCAUGGUUUUUUAAUUGAUGCUCUCAUUUUAAUUUACUAGCCCCUUACUUGGCCCUUUUUAUUUAUCAUUUUAUACAUAUUAAUAUUUUGUUUGUAAAAUAUAUUAGUGUUAGUUUUAUCAAAAUUAAAAAUAAAUAAAAAACUUAGCUUUAGUAUUUAGUUAUUGAAAUUGUAAAAAAAGUGAUAAAGUAUUGGGUGCUUUGUUUGAAAAUUUUCAAAAUGAUAUUGUUUUUACCACUGAACCCCUGUUAUAUACAGUGAUGGCUAAUUUGUCAAGUUCUACGAAGUUGGGAUACCCAGCGUUUUAGCAUAUAACAUAGCUUAGUAUUUCAAGCAUAAUUAAUUAACGAAAAAUUAGUAUCCGGUCCCUAGUUUUUACUGUUCAUUGACUAAGACCUUAUUAGUUCUCAAAUUUUGAUUCAAGUCCCUAGCAUUAAUGUGAUAAUGAAUUUACAUGUUUAUUAUAUAAUUUUUUAAUAUAAAAAUUAGUAAUUAAUUUAGGGUUUAAUACUCACACCUCUAUUAAACUUCUAAUUAAUUUUCAAUUCAGACAUUUCCAAAAUAAUAAAAAAUUAAAUUAAAUUAAGUUUGUACCUAUUAGUUUUUUUUUAUAUAUAAAAAGAUUCUCAAUUUUUAAUCUUAAAUGUACAUCUUAAAUGUACCCAUUCUCAAAUAUAUCAAUUUGUUAUAUGUAAAAUGUACCCUUUUUUAAUAUAAAAUCCAUUCAAAAUUUUUAAUCCAUGUUUAAACUUAUAUGGGUACAUUCUUUUUCGUUGAUUUGAGAAUGUAUCCAUGUUUUGGUACAAUAAAUUUUUUGUUAAUUUUGGUUAAUGUACCCAUACAUAUAUGUACACACACACACACACACACACACACAAUAUAAUAGAGAGUAUAAUUUAUAUUUUAUUAUUUUUAAUCCCAUAAAUGAUGGGUUUUAUUUAAAAUCUCAUUAAUAUAAACAAUUAUAAAUUUCAAUUUUUAAUUUUUAAUUUAAAAAAUAUAGUAACUUACAUUAUUACAUUAAUGUCAGGGACCUCAAUAAAAAACUAAAAACUAACAAGGUUUCAAUCAAAGAAUAUUGAUAGCUAGGGACCACAUCCAAAGUGUCCCUUAAUUAAAGGGUAAAUUACAUAGUAACCCCUCAGGUUUGAUGUCUAUUACAACCCCAUACAACAUCUUUAAAACAUUUCACUUUCAUACCUCAAGUACUAUUUUAUUUCAAUAUAAUACAUCUGUUAGAUUUUCCAUCCAUUAAUCCGUUAAAUGCUGACAUGGAUACCACAUUUGUGCCACGUGGCUGCCAAAUGCGUGUCAUGUGGCAAAAAUAAUAAUUUUUAAAUUUAAAAAAAAAUGAAUCUUCAACCCAAAAAAAAAAAAAAAAAAAAAACCCCAAACCCAGAUCCCAUCAACCCCCCCCAAACGAUUAUCCCUUCCCCAUAUCCCCCAUCCCACCCCCCAACCCCCCCUCUGCGACCAACCUUACCAUAGCGCCCCCCAACCUCGCGACCCACCUCACUCAAGGCCCUAAUCCACACUACCUACAACCCAGAAACGAAAAAAAAAAACAAAAAACAAAAAACUCAUCUCCCUUUCCCUGCAACCCAAAUCCCAUCUUCCCUAAUGGGUAUGGAUUUAAGAAGUGGGGUGUGUAGAGGAGGGAAGAGGGUGGGUGCGGAGGAUGGGUAUGGUGGGUUGCAAGGAAGGGGGGUCGGGUAAGAUGAAGAUGGGUUUUUUUUUUCUCUCUCUCUUCUUCUUCUUCUGGGUUGCAAGUUGUAGGUUGGGGUUUUUUUUUGGGGGGGGGGGGGAGGGAGGGAGGGAAGACGACGUGGGGUUUGGUUUUUUUUUUUUAAUUUAUUUAGAAGAUUUAGGUUUUUUGAAAAAAAAAAAAAAAUUCCACGUGGCACAAAUGUGGCAGCCACGUCAGCAUUUAACAGAUUAAUAGAUGGAAAAUCUAACGGAUGUAUUAUAUUGAAAUAAAAUAGUACUUGAGGUUAGAAAGUGAAAUGUGUUGAUGCACAAAACCGAAGGUCUUUGAACAACGUAAAUCCGAUCGUGAAUAUGCAAGUAAUGUAAAUAACACAAGAUGUAUCGUGGUUCACUCCAAUGUUUGGGCUACGUCCACACUGAUUAUUGUAUUUCUCUGAGAGGUGAGGGGGAGAGCUUUGAGAAAGCUUAGAGCUUAGGGGAUGUGAGAAGGCUUAAGAAUUGGCCUCCCUUAUUUGUGAGGGUGAUGAGUCCUUUUAUAGAAUAAGGGAUCCUCACUUAUUACAUAUUUGCCCAUUCCUUUAUUACAUAAUUACAUUUAAGUCCCCUGAGUACUUGUACAAGGUCUAAAUACGGAGGCCCUAAGUAUGGUACAAACAGUAGUCCCCCAAGUCUUCAGUCAAGAGAGUCUUUUGGCUAGAGACUUGAAAUUCUGUCCAUGUGUGAGCCGAAAUAACUAGAUGUCGUCUAGAACUGAUAUUUGAUAUGCGGCAGUGCCCAUUUUGAAAUAAUGCUCAACUAGAAGUAGCACAUGCUGCGAGGCUGCUCUGCUUGUGUUGCCUUGGUUGGCUCGACUUGUGGCGUUGAAGGUGAGAGAGUCCCUUUUAUAGAAUAAGGGCUCGCUCCUCAUUACAAAGAUGAUGGGUUAGUUGGUGCUUGCGGUGAGGCGGAUGCUCAGCUGGCGGCGAUGCUCUCUAAUGAUAGUGAGGGAGUCCAUUUUAUAGAAUAAGGGAUCGCUCCUCAAUACAUAAAUAAUAGGUGCUCUCUAAUGAAAGUAAGGGAGUCCCUUUUAUAGAAUAAGGGCUCACUCUUCAAUACAUAAAUAAUGGGCUAAGUCCCCUAAGUAUUUUUUAUGAGGCCUAAUUGAGGCCCAAUAUAUGGUACAUAAUGUAGUCCCCCAAGUCUUCGGUCAAUAGAGUCUGUUGGCUGGAGACUUCAAAUUGAAUCCAUGUAUGGGCCGAAGUGGCGGUUGUUCGGAAGCGGUAUUUGUAUACCCUGCACUGAAGCUUUAUAGGUGAAGCUUUGCAAGUGAAGCUUUGAAGCUGGAGCUCAGUAAAUGAAGCUUUUGAAGCUAGAGCUUUUGUAAAUGAAACUUUUGAAGCUGGAGCUCUAUAAAGGAAGCUUUUGUAAAUGAAGCUUUUGAAGCUGAUUCACAUGAGUGAUGCUCAUGAAUGUUUAUGUUGAUUGAUAUGAGUGAUGCUUAUGGAUGUUGACAUGAGUGAUGCUCAUGGAUGUUGACGUGAUGCUCAUGAAUGUUAACAUGAGUGAUGCUCAUGAAUGUUUAUGUAUGAUUGAUAUGAGUAAUGUUCAUGAAUGUUUAUGUAUGAUUGACAUGAGUAAUGCUCAUGUAUAAUUUGAAGUACUGGGCAUACUUUUGAUUACCUGGUUGGCGAUAAUAGCGGCAGGGUGCCGAAUAAUUUUUUGUAGUACUGGGCGUACUUUUGGUCACCUGGUUGGUGAUAAUAGCAGCAGGGUGCCGAAUAAUUUUUUGUAAUACUGGUCGUCCUUUUGGUCACCUGGUUGGUGCUAUUUUGAGCUUAUGGGCCUUCGCCCUCUACACAACAUUCCAGCCUAUUUAUUUUGGGCUUUACCGUUUUUUUUAAUUACCCUAUGAUGGGGUUUAUACAGAUGUCUCCGAAAGAUAUGAAAAAUAAAUUACAUCAUUCAAAAAUAAAUCCGACCCUCUGCUCAAUGGGUCACGCCAAUAAUUCUUUUUUUUUAUGCAUGCCAUCACCACCGCAAUUAUGUCUGCUUCUUUUUAUCUUCUUUUGCUUUCUGCUUUUGCUUUUACUUUAUCUUUCUCUUUUGGCAUAUGGCAGACAACGCCAAAACGGAAUAAUGAAUUAUUAUGAGAACAUGAAUCUUAUCUUUUGCCUGGUUUUCCACUAGUGCUCGUGGUAUUCUCAGGAGAUUGGAUCUGGGGGUAGGCGACUACCCCAGCACCUUGCCCUGAUACGUAAUAGCCUGAUGUCCCACUGCCAUCUCCAUACUGGAAGGUGUACGAACAAUGGUUAUUCUGUGUGGAACAAAUAGAAUCCGAUUGAGAUUCAAGACUGCACCUUCGAUCUGAGCAAGAAAUGAAUUGUGACGUUGAUGAACUUCUAGGAGGAGAAGCAGAGGAUCUUUGACUAUGAUGAUCUUUGAAUUCCAGAUGAAACUGAAUAAAAUGCAGGUUGUGGAGCUUGAUGUGGGCCCAGAUCUGCUUGACAGCUUUGGGGCGGGAGGAUUCCUUGACACUGAGGAAGAUUCCCAGAGCUGGAGGGAUGAGAAUCGACUUCAUAAUCCCGAUGGUGGGUUUGUGCUUGGUCGAAAGAUCAUUUCUGGCAGGGGAAAACAUGUACCAUACCUAUUGCAAAUCUUGCAAAUUCUCUGCUUCUCCAUGGAAGAUGAAGAGCAUCGAAUCUCUGUUUUCUCUCUCUCUCUCUAAAACGUUUUCGUUAUAGAGUGCCCCAAUAGAAGUGGACGGGCAGUGAGCAUGCCAUUUAGUGCCUCCUCCAAGACAGUAACUGAUACGGUGGUCUUUAUUGGCACUCCAAGUUUACUAAAAAGGGCAGCAAAAAUAGUAUUUACAGCACCCAAACUUGAAAGAUCUAGCUCCAACUAGUGGCUUUCUGUUUCAACAGCCUGAAAGCCGGCAGUGUCAUACCGACGCCGUUUGUCUGGAUCAAAUAAUAUAUUAUAAGAAAACAUGACCUUCUUGAAGAUAUCAGCUGUUUUAGAGUCAUUAGCAUUUUUGUCAGGAUGGUACUUGAGAGCCAUUUUCCGGUAAGCACUUUUGAUUUCCUGGUUGGUGGAAUUCCUAUUGAGGCCGAGGACCGCAUAAGGGUUUUGUCGGAGCUGCUUCUUAGCUUCUUGCUUCUCCGAUUUUGAUCGGCUGCCCUGCAUUUUUGAAAUUGACGGUCAAUUUCUUCACAAAACCCUAGAAAUUGCCUCUCGAUUACCUCCGAAACACAUAAUUCACGACUCUUGGUUGAAAUUUUUUUUUUUCAUUUCAAAGAAGUGGCGGAGGUAAAUCAGUUGUCACAUAGCACCGGAGCAUGAGGAAAACCUAGAAAACCAAGAGGCAGAGAGACUCCAUGCACAUCUAACCUGGAACCUUGCAGGAGAGAGCAGAGAGAAAGAGACAAGAAAGAUUGAGGGAGAAGCGAUCUUGGUGCAUCGUCUGUGAUUCCUUGGUGAUUUGCUCGAUCGGGACUCUGAAUUCGUGCAAGUCAUUGCUGUUAAGCAAGAAUCGCGAGGAGUCGGAGAGCUUGGAAAUCGAGAAGGAGAGAGGGCCUUUAGUCAGGGCUUGGAGGGUGUCGGACUCCGUCGGCCAAGAUUGGUGCACGGUCACGGCGUCUGGGCCCAUGGCGGUUGUGUAAAUGGGGGAGGUUCUAGGAGUCCAAGAAAGAAGAAGAAGCAGCGACCAUAGAUCUGGGAGUCCAUGGCGCUUGAAAGAUACGGCGAACAAGUCGGACUUGCUGCUGGGCAGCUGGCGGUGAUAAUGUUGGUGCAUGGGUUUUGGAGUGGGAGUGUUUGGAAUGGGUUUUUUGUUUAGUUUCUAUGUGUUUUUUCACAGAGAGAGAGAGAGAGAAGUGAUGGUGUUUAAGGGAUGAGUUUUGGAGCUUAGUGAAUGCUUUUUCUGGAAAAGCCCAGUGAGGUUUGUGGGUUUUUGCAGAUUUUGCAGAUUCGCGGUGGAGGUGAAAGAAUGAAAGAGAACCGACACAACUUUUCGUAUUGAUUCCCACAUACGGCGCCAAAUGUUGAUGCACAAAACCGGAGGUCUUGGAACAACGCAAAUCCGACCGUGAAUCUGCAAGUAAUGUAAAUAACACAAGAUGUAUCGUGGUUCACCCCAAUGUUUAGGCUAUGUCCACACUGAUUAUUGUAUUUCUCUGAGAGGUGAGGGAGAGCUUUGAGAGAGCUUAGAGCUUAGGGGAUGUGAGAAGGCUUAGGAAUUGGCCUCCCUUAUUUGUGAGGGUGAGAAGUCCUUUUAUAGAAUAAGGGUUCCUCACUUAUUACAUAUUUGCCCAUUCCUUUAUUACAUAAUUACAUUUAAGUCCCCCGAGUAUUUGUACGAGGUCUAAAUACGGAGGCCCUAAGUAUGGUACAAACAAAAUGUUUUAAAGAUGUUGUAUGGGGUUGUAAUAGACCUCAAACUUGAGGGGUUACUAUGUAAUUUACCCUUAAUUAAAAUAAGGGCAAAUGAAGAGGAUGGUUGAACUUGUUAAGUUUCUUAAGUGUGUCUAAUUUAAGUGUGUUGUUAAUAAACAUUUAUUAUGGAGGCAAAGAGAGGGAAGGUGCGGCAUAGAAAGAGAAGAGAGAGAUAUGUAAUUGUGAGUUGUGUUUUAUUCCAUCCCAUUGUGCAUUUAUUUAUAUUAGUUGGGAAAGUUAAUUCUUUAACCUUUUAGGAUUACAACUCUAAUAGGAAAAUAUAUAAUCUAAAAGAUAUGGUAGAAUCCCAUAAGAAUAUCCUAGAUAUGUUAGGAUUUACACAAUCAUAUUCCUAUUCCAAUAGGACUGCAAAACAUUUGUAUUUUUUUAUAAUUUUUUUGAUAAUUUGUUGGCAUUUUCAAUUUUUGUUAACAUUGAAAAUAUAACGGUUCAGAUGAAAAACCUUUGGAAAUCCAACAUUGAAAAUAUAACAGUUUGACGUUGGGCUGUGGUGAAGGAGGCUGGGCUGUCACGUGGGUGGGGCCCUCCCUCUCCCACUUGGUGAUUCAAAGGGCGCAGGCCCGUGCAACAAUUGAGGCAGCCCAUAGAGAUCCUGCGUUUCACCCAUUUGCCAUUUUUUCCACCGCUGGAGCACCAAAAUUCGGUCCAAAGGCAGGGGUUCCAAUUGCAUGGGCAAUUUGGUUUCCGCUGGAGGUGCUCUUUGUCGACUUUGUUUAUUCUUUCUUUUUAGCUUUGCAGUAAUAUUGAAGUAAUCACUCCAAUUGUAUCCGAACUUUUGUUGUCCAUCAAUUUGUAUCAAAACUAUUGGUUAAUUUACAUAUUCAGACUAACCUUCUCAUUAUUUUUAGUAUUUUUAUCAUAAAUAAUAUCUAAAAUAAUCACAUUUUAUUCAACAACCACUCAAUUAAAAAUUAAUUAAUGUUGUUUCUAAACCAUUACAUCGAGCUUUUGUAAAUACACAUCAAUAUUGCAGCGAUCCGAGGCAUUGUUUUCUACGCCUUGGAUUUGGCGAAUUGGAAAAGAGAAGAGUUACGAGUAAAAGUCCCUCACAUUAAGAGGGCUCCUCCUCGGGGAGAUGAAGAUGAUGAUCUUUUGUUUUUGUUUCUUAAUGAUUAAUCCACGCAGCAACAUAUAAUUAGAUUGUUGGGAUCUACUCAAGUUCCAUAUCACGCACUAAUAUAAAGUUUGACAAACGAAACGAAAUAUGUGCUCUCGAAAGCAAAAUGAGGGCACUGCUCCAAGAACAGGAAGGGCUCCUUGUCGAGGUUGCCAUCCGCCAUGAGGGAAAACCGGAAGAAGUUAGACAACAAUGAUGACAUCGAUUUGCAACACCCAUAUUGGGACAUCAAACUGUGAAAUAAAUACUCAAAACUCCUGGAAAGUCCUCGGGACAACAAACUUUUAUCUCCUUCAAAUAUUUCAUUUUACCAAGUUUUAUGUUUGAAGGGAGGGAAAAAAAGAGAUGAGAGAAUCCUACUCCUUAUUCUUGAAUAUAUUCAGGAAUAACUAUUGAAUAAAGAGAGAAUGGAAGGGGAUCGAAAGAGGAGGGAAGAUAAUUCUAGUCCCAAACAUAAAAAGGACCACAACUUUUAAAUUAUCAGCACGAUCAUCAUCUGAUUGAAGAGACCAUUCAUUGUGAAACAUAUCGUCAAUCAAUAUGUCUAUAUCUAUUUAUAUACCACAUUUUUGGAGUAGGAUUCUCCCCCCUCCUAUUACCAUCCCCUUCCAUCCCCUUCCAUCCCCUCCUUUCAUACUUUUUUUUUUCUUAUUCUCUAUAUAAAAAAUUCAAAACAAGAUGUAGAUGUGUCGUAAUCGCAAUAGUUUAAAUAAAAGGAGAUGGAAGGAGAGAUAAAUUACGAGGGGAGAGAAUCUUACUCCCACAUUUUUCUUCUUCAUAAACAAAAGAGAGGUUCUAGAUUACUUGACUCUAUGCCUCAUUUUUUUCAUCAAGUAUUUGUGCUAAACGGGUUCAGUUUCAAGUAUUUUAGUUUUUUGUCAAAAUUGAGAAAACUGAAAAUCAAACAUUAAUAUGCAAAAUUAAAAAAUCAACACAUAAUUAUUUAGAAAUCGCAAUAGAAAAGAAAAAAUGGAGGUUUGUGAUGAAAAAUCUUUUAUACUAAGUAAUUUAGUAUCCUUAUGCAUGAAGAUAAUCAAUUCGUUCGUUAUGGUCAGACUCUUUUUGAAUUUUUGAACACAUUCUCCAUAGGGCCUUCUUAUUUGUUCCUUCUCCGAGUUGGGGUUAUGGAAGAAGUAAAAGAAGGAACCAAGAAGAAAGUAUUGGCAACAACCGAUUUCGUUACGGGACAACUCUUGAUAUUCAUAUCGAUCUAUUAUGUACCUUUGCAUCUAGCAUUAGACAAUAACUGUCAUAGCUUUACCAUAUUUUUUUGUUUCAUUUCUUCUGAAACAAUAACACACACUUUUUUAUUAUGUGUCUAAUACUAGGAAUUCAAUACAUAAUCUUAGCAUUCAAUAGUUAUUCCUGAAUAAUUUCAUUUUUCAAUUGAUCAACCAUUUCAUUUUUCCAAGUUCAAUCAAUGUUAGUCACAUUAGUCAACAUUUAUAUAUUUUGAUGCAACAACAAUAUGUUAUUUGUAACAAGUGAUUUUGCUAGUUGGUUAAUUGGUCACAAGUUAAUGUUCGGUUCAGUUCAGCUUUUCUCUCGAUUUUUUGCGAUUCGGUUUUUUCGAUUCUCUUUAGAUUCGGUUCGAUUUUGUUUUUUUAUUUAUACUUAAUUUUUUUUAAUCUGAAAACACCAAGAACAACACAAGCAUACUCAAUCAAACAACUAUCCUUCUCCACAAAUCACAGUAAUAAUUACAUUCAUUUAGCUAAAAUGCAAAUAACUAACAAACUCACAAAAAUCGAAUAAAAACUACAAAUUGCUUACUCUUUUUCUUUGGGUUUCACUCGAAAAGUGUCGGUAAAAUUUAGGGUUUGCAAGAACGCAACCGAAAUCCAAAACGGAGGCUCUGUGGCUUGUGGGCUGCUAUUGAGUUCCAGUACGGAAAACCUUGCUUACUCUCUAUCACGGUACAAAGUAUCAGUACCUUUAGCACUGUAUUUGGUAGAACCAAAUUAAAAGCUAACAUCAAUAACAACUACCAGAGACAUAAGCUCUUAUCAAUGCUUUGGAAACAGUCAUGUAUCUCCAAGUGUAAUGAUAUAAUUAGUAAGAAAUUUAAAAGAAAAAUGGUGAUUUCAUAUAAAAUCAAUAAAAAGUUACAAUAUUGACAAUAUAUCAACAAUUUUUAUGGGGUAAAUUACAUAGGACCCCCUCAGGUUUGAGGUCUAUUACAACCCCAUACAACAUCUUUAAAAUAUUUCACUUUCAUACCUCACCUACUAUUUUAUUUCAAUAUAGUACCUCCAUUACAUUUUCCAUCAAUUGAUCCAUUAAGAGCUGAAUUGGUUGCCACAUUUGACACGCCCCGAUCCCGAUAUCCUCGGGAUAUCAGGAUGGUCACGUGCUGGCCGACACCCGAGGGUGACGAAAGCCAUUUAUUGAGUGCAAUUGCUGAAAAUAAAGGAUAGAUAAAACUUAUAAAUGUAAAAGAAUAAGGAAUAUGCAUUUAAGGAACGUGUUCAGAGCAUACAACUAACUAGAACACUAAAAGAAUGAUAUAAAAUGGAAUGAAUAAAAGAAUGAGUCUUACACCAAGAGGACUCGAAGAUGCCGAUGCGGAAGUACCUUGAUUGUCGGGAUUGUACGCCUCGAUCCUAAAUCCUGAAGGGGGCGCAAAACAAACAUGAGUGGACCAAGUUGAUAUAUAUAUAAUAAAACAGUUAUCAAUAUACUAACCCCCAGGUUUAUGAAAACAAAUAUAUAAUGAUGAACAUAGGUUUUCCGAAACCUAGCAUGAUGUGCAGUAUCUCAAAUCAUAACUCAUAUAUAAUAAUCACUAGUGAAUUGUCCGAUAACCUGCAGGCCCCAUGCCGGCUCCCCGUCUCUGAGCAGACAGUCAGAGGAAAAUACACUUCAGGCCCCAUGCCGGCUCCCCGUCCCUGUGCUAAAUAGCCAGAGGAAACACACUCCAGGCCCUAUGCCAACACCAAACCGUCGCCCGGGACGGACCGGAAUCUAUUCCUACGUCCCGUAGCGGAAAUGACCACUAGGUAAGUACAAAACCAUUGAACAUACAUAUAUUGAAAAACAACUUCAUAGUAUAAAGUCAUCCAUCAUCUAUACUAUAAAGAGGUGUUCGAAACAUGUUCUAAAUAUCAUAUCGUCAUCCAUCAGAUAUUCUAUAAGAACACGGGUUAUAGGAAAAAUAGUAAUAAUUCAAGGUAGCCUCAGUAAGCAUGUUAUCUCAAAACGUUUCAUAAAACGUAAUCAUUAAAUCAUGCAUUUCAUGUAUGCAUUUCUACUAUUAAAACAUGCUUUUGAAGGGGUCCACUCACAGUACUUAGCCGCCGAAGAGCCACGCAAACUAACGUCACCAAUAUUGCCCCUAAGCACAUAAAUGGUCCAAUUAAUAAAACUAUAUAAUAGCAAUUGGAUUUGGGAAAACGGACGUUGGAAACGGAUUCAGAACGUCGAAUUACCCUAAGAAGGGUCCCGGACGAAAACCCGAAAAGUCAACUCUAAAGUCAAUGUUGACCGGAGGUCAACGGUCAAAUUAGGUCUAACGGGUUUUAGGCUUGAAAUCCGGAUUAGGGUUUAGGUUAAAUAGGAUUAGGAUUUAUUGGGUUUUGGAAUUCUAAGGUUUUUGGGUUAAAAGGGUUUAGGGUGAAAAUGGGUGGUUUGGGCUUAAUCCCAAACUCACACACAACACACACACACACUACACAAACCCUAAAACACACACACACACACGGGCUGCACUAGGGCAGCCCUCACAACACUUCACAAAGGCCCUAAGGCCUUAUUAAAGGACAGGGCUUUAAGCCCUUUAAAGGAUACUGGCCCAAGGCCCGUCAAAAUAAGGCCCGAGGCCUUUGGGUUUUAAAAAGAACAAGAACAAAUUUAAAAGAAAAGGGGCUGGGGUCUACUGGGCUAAGAUAUAACGGGCUUAAGGCCCGUGGGGUUUUCUAAAGGGCCUGAGAGGCCUGGGUUUGUCGAAGGAGAAGGCCGGAAUUUCGGCCGGAAAACCACCCAACUUUAAAUGGCCAUAACUUUGUCAAUACUCAACGAAAUCAAGCAAGACAAAAAUGAAAGUUGUAGCCCUUGAAGCGACGAAGAGAAUGGUUCCUCACACGACGUCUAACUCGCCGUGGUUUGGCCGGAAAAUGCCUCGAAAUCCGUCGGACUCGCCGGAAACUGGGUAAGAUUCAAAUGAGUAUAACUUCUUCAAUACUCAACGAAAUUAAGUGAAACAAAAAGGAAAGUUGUAUUACUCGACGAGACGAAGAGAUUGAUACCUUACACGCCGGCCAACUCGCUGUGGUUUGGCCGGAAAUGGCCUCGAAAGGGGCGGUGCUCGCCGGAGCUUACUCCGUGCCGUCGAACUCGCAGGGUAGGGUCCGGGGUUCGUUGCAAGCCUCUCUUCGAUGGUGACUCGGUCCUAGUGAGUCCAGGGGAAGAGAGAGAUGCGAAAGGUUGAGGGAGAGAGAGACGGGAGAGCUGAGAAAGAGAGAGCUACGGGAGGGAGAAACGAAGAAGAAGAAGAGAGAGAUCAGAAAACAUAAAAAAAAUAAACAAGGUGGGCCCCACGGGCUCACCAAUUAAGGCUUUAAAACAAUUUUAAAAUAUAAAAGAGGGUUGGGGUGUUUCAACAUUUGUACCACGUGGCAAAAAAAAAACCUAAAUCUUCUAUACAAAAAAACUAAAAAAACCAAAAAAAGCAAAAUCGAACACUCCACCCCGCAAAAAUCCUAGCAUCUUCCUUUUAUUCCCCACAACCCCAAAUUCCCCCCCAAAACCCCUAAAACCCAAACCCUAAUUCCUCCCCCACAUGAAGAAAAUCCCAGUCCAAUUCAAUCCCAAUUACCUCAAAUCCCACCAUAGAAACCCUAAAUUUUGGUUCCUCAAUCCCUAGAUUUCCCACGCCUCUGUUGCCUACACCUUAUCAAUCUUUAGCUUUCUCCCUCAUCCCCUCCAUGAACGACACUUUCUCUCAUCCGCUGUUCCCCAGCAACGGCACCGAUACCUACGAGGCCUGGUACGGCAACAUCCAGUACCUUCUCAACAUCUCCGCCAUCGGCUCAUUCUUAUGUGUCUUCUUUUUCACCUUGGUCAAGCUUUGAAGCGAUCGCCGCCGCAUGCCCGGCUCGUCCUCCCUCGUUGCUAAGCUCUUCGCAGUGUGGUAUGCUACCUGUCGAGAGAUUAUGCUCCCAUGUGGCGCUGAGGCCAUAAUACUCACGCACCCAUCUACACACCCACACCACCACUACCGUGGACUCUCUCUCACUCUCCCUCGUCUUUGUAGAGCUAGGUGAAGCCUAGAAACCGAGAACUAGCUCCAGCAAACCCCGUGAGUUUCGAGCCAGAUCCCUGCCGACUCCGACCAUCCCAUGACCAAUCUAAGGUACAAAACAUUUCCCCUUGACUCUAUGCUCUUUUUCGUAUGUAGAUCGUAGGGAAAAGCCCACAGAAUGAGAGAGAAUAGUGACCUGAGAGAGUCCACGGUGAUGGUGGUGUGUAGAUGAGUGCGUGCGUGGGUGUACUGUCGGGGAUAGAGUCUGAGAGAGAUAGAGAGUGAAAGAGUCUGAGAGAAGAGUGACUUGCGAGAGUGAGAGAUUCGAGAGAGACUCGGGAAAAGAUUUAUGGGUUUGGGUUUUUCUGGUUUUUUAUUUUUAUAAUAAUAGGGUUAAUAUUAUAAUAUUUUUAAUGUAUAAAAAUUUCUUUUUUGCCACGUGGCAGCCACAUCAGCACAAAUGUGGUAGUUGUAGAUGCAAAUUUCUUCCUCUUGAUCUUGGACAAUUUUGCACCUACAAAACAAUUAACACCUUAGGUUAAGGCCAAAAGCCUCACACACCCACAAUGAAUGGGGGGCUUUGGCCGAAGAACCUCUGUUGCCAAAGUUAGAAUUUAGAGAGAAAGAGUCUUUACAGAAUUUUGGGAUUUUUGCCAAAGUGUUGGAAUGGCUUUCUGGUGAGAACGGGAUCACUUUUAUAAGGAUAGGAAGUGGUCGGCCUAGCUAGGGUUUUUGGGUUUAAUUUAGGUUUAAUUCUUCAAUUUAUUUGGCUAAUUAAACCCUAAAGAAUAAAUUGGUGGUUACAAAAUUGAUUAUUUGUAUAAAUGGGGUAAUAAAAUGGAGAAAAGUGAAAAAGGUUAGGAAAAGGGAGGUAGCUAGCUUCUUAGUAGUUUUAGGUGUGAGUGGGUGUUUUAAUUGAUAAUUAAGGGAUUGAUUAGGUAAUUAAUCCCUUAAUUAAACAAUUUUUAGGGAAUAUGAAAGGAAAUUAUUAUUUAGCUAAUUGAUUAGCUAAAUAAUGGAAUACAAAAUAUAUAGAAUAAAUUAGGCUUUAGGUAUUACCUUAUAGAAAUGAUUUGAUGAAAUAGGCUUUAAAUUGUUAACUAUUUUGGGCACUUUUGACUUGGUUGAGGAUGAUUGUCUGCCGCUCGCACGUAGGAAUCUCGAUAUGCCUUAAGGGUAUUUUUGUCCUCUUUUACCCAAAAAUCCACGUGUCGCCUUGUGAUUAUUUUUGGCUCCACAAAUGCCCCCACACCUGUUGGGCUGCUCGCAGAAAAUGGCAGCAGGUGUAGAGAUCAUCUUGCUUUAGGAAACGUAGGACUACUUCCUCUUUAGAUGUAGAUUCUCUCUUUAAUAGGAAAUUAGGUUCUUCUAGGAAAGGGAAAUAAAUUUCUGUUAAAGCCUAUUUAAGUCUACCUUAAGUGGGUUAUUAAAUCAACUUUGGAGAGCGAUUUCUUAUACCCUACAAGAGAGAGGGAGCUUAGAGAAUAUUUGUUCCCCCUCUUCUAGCAAUCUUCUACAUCUUUCCCGUGCAAAGGAUCGUCUUUCGUUGAUUUCUUCGUCUUCUCCGUGCCGCACCGAUGUAAGAAAAAUUUAAUUUUUUGCUUAUCUUCUUCUUGGAUAGUACUAUUACAGGGCAACCGUUAAGGUAGUGCGGCACGUCUACUGGCAGGGGCUAGGAGUUGGCUCGGCAUCGGUCGAUGAGGCAUUAUGGCAGGGGCCACUGCUUAGGCUGUUUGGCUUGGCUAGAGCCAAUGGCAGCUUGUGCGGCUGGGGUCGCGGAUUGUGGCGUUGGGGCGCAAUGCUAGGCGAGCCACAUGGUUAAUGUCCUUUAGGCUCUUAGACCUUACUCGGGCCAGGCUAGCGACUGAAAGAAAUGAGGAGGUCGUGGGCCUCAUGGGUUGUUGGAAUGUUGGGCAUGCAGGCCUCCUGUCUGCUAGAAUGCUAGGUUGAGCUCCUCUGCUGAGUACCGUGAAUGGCGUUGGCUGCUUAGUUCUUUUUACAGAGAGAAAGGUGGGCUGCUCCCGAAAGAGGAAGUAAAGAGGAUCAAGGUGGAUGCAUUGGCUCGUCUAAUCGCUGUCGUGGAACCUCCUAUGAAUGAAGAUGGAAAUAAGAGAUCUUCCCUGCCUACUCAAGAGAUGCCGAUCGAGAAAAAUUGAAGACUUUCUCCACUGCUGCUCAUGAUGAUUUGUCUGCUGUCGAUAGGCCUGUGAUUGGCAUGACUUCUUCCAAUGGGAAGAAAAAUGAGGCUGCUAGAUCUGAUCAUGUGGUGCCUUCCAUGUUGAGAAUUGCUAGUACAAUUGUUGAUAAGAUUGCUUAGCGCAAAGGUUUUAUCAUGCCCCCAGUACCGAAGUCUGUACCAGGACUUUCGUUUGGAGCAAAGUCUGGUUCACCUUUGGAGAUACUUGCUAUUAUGAAAAGUGGUAAGGUGGACUCUGCUGCUAAAGUGGCGUCAAGGCCCACUCCCUUUGUUGCUGAGACUGAUUCGCCUGCUAGGAAGGAAGAUACUACUUGUAUGGGCAGCUGUGAGAAAUCCACUAAACUUGCUUCUGGGGAGGCUGCUGAGAUCAUUGUGCUUUUGAAACUAUAUCUGCUUGAAGACAUGGACGCUUGUGCCAAGUUUGUUGAUGGCGGUAGAAAGGUUGUUUACCUAAGUUCCUUUGCGAAACAUACGACCCAAUAUAAAAUGACUGCUCUGCUUACUAGGAUGCAUAAAUAGCAAGGUUGUCAAGGAGGUGGCGAAGAUUAUGGCAGCUAAAGCUUAUUCCUCAGUCGAGGAGAUCAAAAGGUUGAAUUAUGAGCUUGUUGCUUUGAAAGAAAUGGAAGAACUGCAACACGUUCGUGUUAGUCUGUUUGAGAAGAAUGAGCAGCUAAACGGUAAGAAUGAUGGGCUUGAGGUUUCUCUAUUUUUCCGGAAGACUUGCUUACUUUUACUUUUGAGGCUUCCAUUGGUGAAGUAGUUGGAGACGUUAGUGCCCAGGCUUAGGCAACCGGGGGUGAAGCACCGGAUGAUGCCGCUGCUAAGAACGUUACGGCUGCUGAAGGUGUGGAGACCAAGUAGUCGUGGGAUGUCCAAGCUGCUGUAGUGUAGUAUUUUAGGUAGCUUUUAUGAUUUUCUUUGUUUUUCCUUGUAGCUCUUGUUUUGCUUGAACUUCUUCGGCCUUUGCUAGUUGUAUAAACAUGUUUUCCUUCGCUUUUCUUCAUCUUCGCUUCUUUUGUUCAUGCCCUAACCUUUAGACUUGAUAGACCAAUGGCAGGCAUGCUACUUUUUUAUAAGCAGACAAGCUCGCGUAGCCUAUGCAGCCGUAAAUGUUGGUGUAGAACUUUGCAAAGUUGUUAGCCAUUAGGUUGGUAACCAGAUACCUUACUUACAGAAGUAGACAAGUCCGCAUAACCACUAGGCUAUUAACCUUGACUUUCUCCAAUUCUGUAGGUUGCGUAGCAAGUAUCACAACACUUUAGGAAUUGGUAUAGGUUGCUCCGCACUUGGCAGAGGUGAAGCCUAUCGACUACGUAGCAUGUCGGCAGUGGAUAAAACUUCCAUAUAUGCGCGCUAGCUUGUUUAACCUUUCACAAGAAUGUGCGGUUGUAUAAGUCUAGCACGGUUUUACUGCUUGAAGGGCAAGCCGUAGGCAGUCUUCCGGAAUCCGUAGGCUACCUUAAUGUACUCGGUAGCAGCUUUAGGGUUCCAGGGCAGCCGUCUAUAGAGCGUACUGCGUAAUGUGCCCCAUCCGUCUCUAGCUCCCGGUUCCCCACAGAUUAGACCAAGAGACCCAAAAUCCUUCAGUUAGUUAAGCCUUGAAAAAGACCAUUGUGGCUACUUCUAGGAAUCCCGGCUCAAGCCAUCGUACAUCUAGUUAUACUAGGGUAGCCAGGCUCAUCAGCGUCUGGAUAUUCGGAGUGUAAAGUUUAUCCUCCCGUCUUAGAGAGCUGACCCAUAUGAGUGUCGGGGAAUUGGUUUACCCUCUCACACUAGAGAGUAAUUAAUUUACCCUCUCGCACUGGAGAGCAAUUAGUUUACCCUCUCGCACUGGAGAGCAUGGUUGGUCCAUCGGGGGGCGCAAUUCCUGCGAUGAGUCCCUAAGAAGGGCGCAGUCUUCUUUUGAAGUGCAGGAAUGAUUAGUUGUUAUAAGCAUGUGAUCGAGUCAAGUUGUGAUUACUUCUAAAUUCCUCAUUGAAAAACGAGUGAAACGAACGAGAACUUAGCCGUAAGGUAGGAACUGCAUAACAACUGGAUAGUCCUCAACUUGUGUGGUGGUACCCAUCGAGCUUCUUGAGUCUUCGGGCUUUGAUGUAGUGGGAGGUUACACAUGGCACCUUUUCAGAUUGUAGGCGCUCUACUGCUUUUCGAACUUUUUUUUUGUUGUGUAAUUGCUCUUGCUGCCUACUCGGCUAAUCUUAUACAGACUUUCUCGGAUGAGAUUCAUCUUUUUGGAGCUUCUCUGCUGGCAGUGAUGAAGGCUUUUCUUAGGACUAGAUCUCUGGGCUGGAACUGCCAGAUUUUGGCCUUUUUGUUGUGGCUGGAAAAGAACCACUGCUGGUAAGUUGUAAUGCAGAUGAUAGUCUGCUCGCACUUCUCCUCUGCCAAAUUUAAGCUUGUGGCCAUCUCCUUUCGGUUGCUCGUCUUUUGGUGUUGCGAUGUGCCCAUAGACAUCCAGGGAGUUUGUCUGGCCAUUUUCUUUUCUUAUUGGUAGGGGAUUUCUUGUGGCAGUCGAGGAUCAUCUUAGUGGAUGUUUUGGCCAGCCUAUUGCCUUGAGGAUAUCUUGGCGUAGACAUGUGCUGCUUGAUGCCAUAUUUUUAGAAGAAUUUCGCCAAAUCUUUGCCCACGAAUUACGGGCCGUUGUUGGUGACGAUGGAUUAAGGUAUGCCAAAUCGGCAAAUGAUGCUCUUUCAUAUGAAGCGCUCUAUGUCCGUUUGAAUUGUGAUCGUCAUGGGCUCUGCUUCUACCUAUUUGGUGAAAUAGUUGGUUGCCACGAUCAUCAUGCAUUUGCCCUUAGUAGUCUGGCUGGUGAUUAGCUGGGAAUCAGAAUGAAUUGAAAGCUUUUUCACCACCAAGUCUUUUGUCACUCGAAGGCCUGCUAGUGGGGCUUUGUACUCUGCUUCGUUGUUAGGUGCUUUGACGCUUAGAGUGAUCGCUUACUCGAGCAUUGAACCGUCUGGGGUGGCAAGAACCACGGUUACUUAUAAGCCUUUGUAGUUGGAUGCGCCGUCGACAUGCAAAUGCCAGAAAUUUCCAUUGAGGGAGUAGGUAUGGCUAAAGUGUGCUCGGCUACCUUCGAAGCGUCGUUGGGCCGCUUUGUUACAUUGUCAAGGCUAGGUUUGAAGGCGCGGUAGAGAGUCGUGGAGCUGGGGCCAUGUUACAUGUAGCAGGAGAUGCUCAACUUCCGGUAUUAGGCCACUCUAGAGCUGAAUAAUGGAGCAAAGGUCGGCUAGGGUCGUAUGACGCGCAGCAGAAGGUAGUGCUCGACUGCUAGUACAUGUUGCUCUUACGUAGAAUCUUCUGAGGCGACGAGGACAAAACUUGCUUUUAAGUGUUCCUUCUAGUGUUCGUCUGCCCUUGGCGUGUCUUUUGGGCUGAGUUGUUGCGUUCGUCAGAAAACUUUGCAUCUGCCAGGGUUUACGUCUUUAUCAUCACGGGUUUGGAUUAGGCGGAAUAGUGCGUCAUGAUGAUGACUGCGUACAUUUGAAGGUAAAACUUAAGCUUUUGGGUUACAACAACUAUCACCAAAGUUAGCUUUUGAAUUUUUAAUAGCAUCGAGGAGAGCUUUUGAACUAUAAAAUACAUGUAGUUGGGCCCCCAACUCUUCUCGCAUGACGGUACAGCUUAUUUCUACUUUAGAUACCGUCAAACAUGCGAAUAAGUCCUCUGCUGCUUCUAGGGAGGUGAUGUUGGGUACUUCUUCAAGCCCUUGAAUGUGCAUUGGCGAGCCUCAUCCCAAAGUGCAUGCUUCUCUGCCAAAGAAAAAGAGUCUACCAGAGUUAGAUAUUCUUUCAUGAUCAAUUUUCUAAAUAGCGGUGGUCUGCUGGAAGGCCUUUUUGGAAGGCUGCUCUAGCUAUUGAGUCGCUGCAUCCGACUAUCAUUGCCUUCUCUGUUUUGAAUCUCUUCACAUAGUCACGAAGUGACUCCUUUGGGUUCUUUUUUACGUCAAACAAAUGGUCGGACUUCUUUUUGAUCGAGCAAUAAGAUGAAUAUUCUUUGGUGAAAACCAAAGAAAGUUCGUAGAAAUUCUAGAUAGAUUGUGGCGGCAGGGUGUAGAACCAAUCUUGUGCCUCGCCUUCAUAGUGGUGGCGAAUAUCUUGCACAUGAGAUCAUCGUUGUUUCGAUAAAGGAUCAUUGUGCUUCGGUAGCGCUUUAAGUGUCUCUUCGGGUCUUCAUCCCCUUUGAAAGAUAUGAAAUGUUGCAUACUGAACUCGCAUGGAGGCUCUGCCAGCUCGAUCUCAUCCGUGAAGGGUGACCUGCUUAUGUUGGUCAUGUUCCGUCGUAGUGCCUCGUCGGUGACCUUGUUGCGUUAGAAAUCAUGCAAUCGCUUGAUUAAAAGUCUCUCUACUUCUUCCUGAAUUUUCAUUUGUUAGGGUAGCAGAGCUCUCGGCUGCCCCUAGCCAUAACUUACUGGUCUAGGAUGCUCUUCCAUGUGUUUGGCUCGUAUACCGUGGAUGCAGUGUAUGUGGUGCGGUCCUAGUAGGUGAGCGAGUUCUUCGCAGGCUGCUAGUUGAACUUGAGCUGGAUUGAGUGACUACUUCUCUCCGUCCGUCGUGCUGCCUACUCCAAUGUGAGGUGAAAGAUGCUCCUUGCAGGCUUAGCCACGAAUGAACACUUUACCUGGAAGGUUGCUCAUGUUGACUAUCAGAGUAUGACCCUAACCGUGAAUGUAUAUUCACCCGUGGGCUUAGUCGAGAGUGCACGCUCCUCCGCGCGCUAAGACGAGAGUAUACGUUAUCUCGGGAGCCCAAUUGGGAGUGUACACUGCCCGAACGCUCGGCUCGUGGCUGGUCGAGUGGCUGCUUGCCGAAACGCUGCGGGAAAGGUUCGUCUGCCCUUGUCCUACUUCGGGAUACCUUGUUUGGGGCACGUUGGAUUCUGGUGCAUUGCAAAAGUUGAUUCACCAAGGUUGUCUGUUGUGCAAGGGUGCUCGUAAACGCUACGACUUGUCGAGACAAGUGUUGUUCGUCAUUUGGAUUGGAAUAGCUUGGAAGGAAUGUGCCUUCUUGGGCAGUGGAAGGGUGGUAGACUCCGGGCUCGAGAUUUGAGUUGGGAAAUGUCAAAUCUACGAAAAAAUGUGGUGAGAAUGCCCCCGGCUCGAUGGUAGGUCCGGAUGGUUGAGAUAGUCUUGGGCCGACUUGGGCUGCUUGGAAAGCCACGGGAGCAGGCUGGGCCACGAGAGUGAGCUGCUCGGCAGGAGUAGGCUGGGCUACGAGAGUGGGCUGCUCGGCAGGAGCAAACUGCUUGGAGUGUGAUGCACAUGGGUGCGAGGCUUGGGCUCGGCUUGGUAACACAUUGAGUUCGGGUUUGGCUUGGAGUGACAUGACUUGGGCCGUGGCCUUGGUGUCGUGAGCCUUGGAUGGCACGGCUCGGGCAGUGGUAGCUGUGCCAUGGACCUCGCCGCGGGUAGUGGUGACCGUGAUGGCCACCGCGGUGGUUGCCAUGGUGGAGCCCCGUAGUGAUGGUGCCGCUCCUAUGAUCACAUUUAGCCUCGUGGAUCGUCGUGGUCCCAUUUCUUGAAUAUUAGAAUUUUCACUUAUGGAAUUUUCUAAAUUUCUAGCCAUUAUAUUUUUCUUAUACGUUUUAUCAAAGAACCUUUGCAAAUAAAAAAUUCUAAUAAUAAGAACGUAUGAAAAAAUAUUCAAAUGGACUAGAAAAUAGAGAAAAACCUUUUUAUGCGAGAGUCUUCUACGAGUAUAGAUCUCAACUCUCAAUGAAAGCACCAAUUUGUGGAUGCAAAUUUCUUCCUCCUUGAUCCUAGACAAUUUUGCACCUACAAAACAAUUAACACCUUAGGUUAAGGCCAAGAGCCUCACACGCCCACGAUGAAUGGGGGGGCUUUGGCCGAAGAACCUCUGAUGCCAAAGUUAGAAUUUAGAGAGAUAGAGUGUUCAGAGAAUUUUGAGAUUUUUGCCAAAGUGUUGGAAUGGAUUUUUGGUGAGAAUGGGAUCACUUUUAUAGGGAUAGGAAGUGGCCGGCCUAGCUAGGGUUUUUGGGUUUAAUUUAGGUUUAAUUAGUCAAUUUAUUUGGCUAAUUAAACCCUAAAGAAUAAAUUGGUGGUUACAAAAUUGAUUAUUUGUAUAAAUGGGGUAAUAAAAUGGAGAAAGGUGAAAAAGGUUAGGAAAAGGGAGGUGGCCGGCUUCUUAGUGGUUUUAGGUGUGAGUGGGUGUUUUAAUUGAUAAUUAAGGGAUUCAUUAGGUAAUUAAUCAAUUUUUAGGGAAUAUGAAAGGAAAAUAUUAUUUAGCUAAUUGAUUAGCUAAAUAAUGGAAUACAAAAUAUAUAGAACAAAUUAGGUAUUAGGAAUUACCUUAUAGAAAGGAUUUGAUGAAAUAAGCUUUAAAUUGUUACCUAUUUUGGGCACUUUUGACUUGGUUGAGGAUGAUUGUCUGCCGCUCACGCGUAGGAAUCUCGAUAUGCCUCAAGGGUAUUUUUGUUCUCUUUUACCCAAAAAUCCACGUGUCGCCUUGUGAUUAUUUUGGCUCCACAACAACCACGUCAGCAUUUAACAGACCAAUGGAUGGAAAAUCUAACGGAGGUAUUAUUUUGAAAUAAAAUAACAAGUGAGGUAUGAAAGUGAAAUGUUUUAAAGAUGUUGUAUGGGGUUGUAAUAGACCUCAAACUUGAGGGUCCUAUGUAAUUUACCUAUUUUUAUGUUAAUUAUGAAUAGGUCAAUCAUGUAGAACCAAAUUAAAAGCUAACAUCAAUAACAACUACCAGAGACAAAAGCUCUAAUCAAUGCUUCGGAAACAUAGUCUUGUAUCUCUAGGUGUAAUGAUAUAAUUUGUUGGAAACUUAAAAGAAAAUUGGUGAUUUUGUAUAUAAUCGAUAAAAAGUUAUAAUAGUGACAAUAUAUCAGUAAUAUUUAUGUUAAUUAGGAAUAGGUCAAUCAUGUAUUUAAUACUUACAUGCAUUUAAAAUAAACACCUUAUCAAUGUUUUUUUAACUGUGCUCAGUUUUUCUCCUUCGCUUUGGUUUUGUUCUAUUGGAUUUUUCAACUAUCAUUAAUUGUGAACAUAACUGAUCAUUGAGACACAAACAUCCAAGGGAGAGUACCGUGGAACAAAAUGUGGAUAUCUUUAUACAUUGUAUGGUAGUAAACCAUCAUAAACACCAUAAUAAUGUAGAAACGCUCUUGGGGUACCUUUGGAUGAUAACUCAUGUAUUUGUUGCCCUACGUAAAGAUGGCUAAUGAUAAUGGAAGUCUAAUUUUCUCAUCCCAAUCUCUCCUGUCUCUCUUGUUCUCUUUUCUCUAUAGUUUAUUUCCAACAAGUUGUGUUAUUUUUUUUUUUUAGUAUUGUUAAGCAACCAAUAGAUUUUAAUUAGCAGUCUUUGUUUUUUUCUUUUAUAUUUUUAAUCAAUUUCAGUUGCUUAUCCGUUCUAGCAAAUUGAGCUCUUUUACAGCAAUUUUUUUCUUUAAAUGAAAUUAUUAUUAUUAAAAGAGUGAGAAAAUUCGAAAUUAUUACAACAAUUUAAAAAAAAGAAGUUUCGAAUCAUAAACACAGAGGGAGUUUACAACAUUUUAAUUAAGAAAUUAGGCUUCAGCUCAACUCAUCUUUGCAACGUCGGUUCCACUUCACAUCAACAUGCAAUGUUUCAGAAGGUCACGCGGUUUUGGGGUUGUUGUGUACCAAUAAUAUUAUAUAUAUAUAAAUUAGGAUUGAAGGAUACACGCAUUUUGUAGAGCUUAUUUUGUUAUGUAUUUUAAUGAUUUAAAUGCUUACGUUUUUCUUCACUACAAAUGAGUGAAUUAAUGAUUUUAGAAUUUGUCUAAUUUUUUACAUUGAUUAUUUAUGAAUAUUGAAUUGAAAUAUAGACGAUUCAAAAAUCGUUGAUAUACAUUACAAAAUGAACUCCACAAAAUAAGCGUCAAAAUAUGUAUAUAAAAUGGACAGCGUGAAAGGCUUGGAAAUUGGAAUAGGUUUGAAAAUUGUGCUUUUUGUAGCAAAUUGUAGCAAAGUUUGCUUGGACUUUCACAACCGUAUAAAUUAUGCCGCAGCACUCUCUAUUUUCUCUCUCGCUCUAUAUCGUGGUCCCUCUCUCUCGCCGUCCUCGAUUGCUCGAACUCACUAUCCUUUAUUGCUCGAACUCACCGUCCUCAAUUGCUCGAACCCACUGUCCUUUAUUGCUCGAACUCACUGUCUCCAACUUCCUCUGUUUGGUUCCCGAUGAAGAUGGUAAAACAGUAGGGGCAAGAAAUUAUGACAAUGUUAGAUUUGCAUAUUAAUCUGGUAGGGCUACAAUUCUCCAAUCCACACCCCUUCCAUCUAUGCUAGUGUUUGUACCCAAUAUUAGAUAUCCGGUCUGUGCAAUCGAGAUCGUUGAAUGAGAAAAAUUCUAAGCCGUGGGAUCAAAUAUAAUGAUGUGGAUUAAAUAAGAAAAAUUUAAAUGUUUAUCUUGGUUGAAUUACCAUGAUAAUAUUGUGGAAUUAUCUUCUGCAUAACGGGAUAGCGAGAAAAGUCCAAGGGUGUAGGGAAGUUGUGUGGCUGACUACCGCUUUUUUUUAUGGUGUCAUUAGUAGAGUAAUAUCACACUUAACAUUUAUUUGUACCAUCUCUCUAAUAAAGAUAAAGACCAUCAAUGCAUAAAUAAUGAUACAAAUAUAUAAUAAGAGUAUCAUAUUUGUAACUAGAAUAGGAGAAGAAAGACUUCAAGAUGGGGUCAGCCAAAUAAUUAGCGUCAGGAUAAAAAUAUGAGUAAUGAUAUUUGUAAACAUCGAAAUUUCGGUAAAUAAAUGUUGACCGAUAAAUCAAAGUUUCAACGCUCAUGUAUUACAUAAAUUUUACACGUAGCGUAUGUCUAAACAAAAAAUCGAAAUAAGUUGGAAAAGUCAUCAAACAGGACACAUGUCAACACCUGGCAGAAACGACUUAUUUCAUCUGGAAUAUUAUAUUCAAAAUUAGGCAUUGGAAAAUUCUAUAAAUAGAAGCCAAUUUCAUUCAUUUGAAGGAACCAAAAUCAUUAGGCAAAAUUCUUGAAGCUCUGAAGCUCUGAAACUCCGAAACUCUCAAGCAUCCAGGUUCCCGAAGAAUCAAGAAAGCUCUCUUCGUUCUUCGUUCUUCGUUCAUCGUUCAUCCUAAGAUCAAGCUCCAACGGCCCUUUAGAUCAACAAUCAUCCACUAAUUCAAGAUCAAGCCCCGACGGCCCUUGAAGAAAGUGUUCUUCAUUCUUCGUUCAUCGUUCUUCCAAGAUCAAGCCCCAACGGCCCUUUGGAUUAACAAUCAUCCACCAAUUCAAGAUCAAGCCCCAACGGCCCUUGAAGAAAGUGUUCUUCGUUCUUCGUUCAUCGUUCUUCCAAGAUCAAGCCCCAACGGCCCUUUGGAUUAACAAUCAUCCACCAAUUCAAGAUCAAGCCCCAACGGCCCUUGAAGAAAGUGUUCUUCGUUCUUCGUUCAUCGUUCUUCCAAGAUCAAGCCCCGACGGCCCUUGGAUCAACAAUCCACCAAUUCAAGAUCAAGCCCCAAAGACCCUUGAAGAACUUCUACCAAUUCAAGAUCAAGCCCUGACGGCCCUUGAAGAAAGUGUUCAUUGUUCAUCAUCCGUUCAUCCCGAAGAAUCAAGAAAGCCUUAUUCGUUCUUCGUUCAUCGUUCUUCCAAGAUCAAGCCCCGACGGCCCUUGGGUCAACAUCAUCAACAAAUCCACACAUCCAACCGUUCUUCAAGAUCAAGCCCAAAAGCCCUUGAAGAUCCGUUCAUCACCGUUAUUCAAGAUCAAGCCUUAACGGCCCUUGAAGAAACACUCAUCCUCAAGAUCAAGCCCCAACGGCUCCUUGAAGAUCCGCUCAAAUCCACCUUCAAAGAUCAAGCCCACGGCCCCUUGAAGAAACAUCCAACAGUUCAUCCAAGAUCAAGCCUCGACGGCCCUUGGAUCAACGAAACAUCUACAAAUCAACACCUUACGGAGAUCGAAUCAGAUGAUCAAAUUAGAGAGAGAUUGUAACCCUAAAUCAUCAAAAUACAAAUAUUAUUUUGUGCACGUUGUUCUUAUCUCUUUCGUUUCAGGAAAUUUUCGUGUUCACAAUAUUCUUACCAUCUAAAUAUACUAUAAUUUUAUACCAUCUUAUGUGGCAAUUGAGAUGGACUUCCACAUAAGUUUUAAAAAAAUCUCAUGUCAGCUAAGGUGGAUAUUUACGAUUUUACGAUUUUACUCAAUGAUUUUUAUUAAUAAAAUAAUUAAAAAAUAAUAAUGAAACCUACUUGCUCCCGUUUUCAAGCCUCAUCGCUGGGCCUCCUCCCUCUUCGCUCUCCAAUUUCACCUUCCUUCACCAACGAUCGAUGGUGCUCGACCCCCUUCAUCAUUGCCAACUGGCCGAAUAUCUUGAUGGUGCUCCCAGUGAUUGUUUUGCUCUGCCACCAAAUCAAGUUUGCAAUUUUAAUGGUUUAUGCCUUCUGGCCAAGUGUUGGAUUUGAUAGGUUUUUAAUUCCAGCAACAUUGAACAAAAAUAUGAAAAGGAUUGGAUACGAUAUUUUCCUCUGUUCUACUGCUGAGGAUUUUCCGAAUAGAAGAAGAUUUGGAAGACAACCUCUUUUCUUUUUUCUUCAUGGACUUUUGGUUAGCACCAAAAUCUUUUCCUAAUCCUCUAUAGGAAUGAAAAUUUCAUUCCAUGUUAUAUCCCGAUGUUGUCCAAGGUUUUGGCUUGAAUUUUCAUUGGAAUUAUCAUAUGUUGGAUCAGAUCAGGUGGAGAGAUGAAACGUAUCUAACAAGGAAGUUGAACGGGUAGGGUUUGAGCAAAAAUAAACAGAAAUUCCACCUAGGUUGACACCUAAGCUUCCACAUCAUGUGGUAUACUAAAUGUGGUAUAAUAAGAUGGUAAGAAUAGCAUUAUUGAAUGGGUAAUGUUAAGAGAAAUUUUUAGUUGUGACGGGAACACGGAUGGUACACCAUGCGUUUUUAUGUAAAUGGUGGAAAAUUUUAAUUUUUAAAUUAUUAACCUUUUAGCACACAUAUCCCACCAUUUAUAUGAAAACACGUGAUGUAUCACCUCGUGUGAUAGUCACAUUGAAAAAUCUCUCGUAAUGUUAGGAAAACUAAAUUUAUAAACAAAAGUUACAAAUUAAAUGAUGGGUUACCAAUAAGAAUGAUUACGUUUAUCAAUGCUUAAAUAAUAAAUCAUUCAUCAACUUCCAGUCCUUUAGUUUUUAAAAUUUUGUCUAACAUUACCCUUUCAAAACUCAUGAAAAUAAUUUUCAAUUUUUUUAACUGAAAAGUGAAAGUUACUAAACAAGAUUUCAGUUUUUAGCUUUCAAAAAAAUAAAAACAAAAGCUAAAAAUAAAAUGGUUAUCAAACAUCCCUAGAAGUCAUUCUUAGUGAUAGUAAGGUCAUCUCCAACCGAAAGAUCCAGGGGGCUAGAGGGCCGAAAAUAGUCUGAAAACCAUUUCCAAUCAAAGGCCAUGCCAAAGGGGUCGUGGACCCCAUUAGACAAAAAAGGGCCAAAGGGCCAACUGGCUGGCCCCAGUUCCAACAAUAACUAGAUGACGUCAGUUAACCGUUAUUUUUGAAUUUUUUUUUUAACAAAUUUUAACUUUCUAAGCCAUUAAACAACAUUAAAUUAAGUAAAAAAGAAAAUUCCUAUAACUUCCUAAGUCAUUAAACAAUAUUAAAUUAAGUAACAUGAAACAACAUUAAACAAUAUUAAACAAAAUUAAACAAUAUUAAACAACAUUAAAUAACAUUUAACAACAUAAAAAUUAUACAACAUAAAAAAAAACAUUUAAGAACAUAAAAUUUAAAUGCCUACUUCAUGCUUCUUUUGGCCCAAAGAUGUGCAACAAGAUCCUAAUGUAGGUACUUGUUUGUGGCACGAGAGCGUAUCAUCCUAACCGUUAGAUUUGAUUUUUUUUUGUUUUCGGCCAAAUUUUUUUAAAUUUAAAAAUAAAUUAUGUUUGACCUUUUGGCCCUCGAUUGGAGAUAGUUUUUUUUGUGACAUGACUAUGUUUAGCCCUAUGACCCUUUGGCCCUCAGUUAGAGAUGGUAAGAAAUAUGACCCAACAAUGUUCAUUAAAAUAUUAAUUUCUUGAAGAGCCAGAGGGCUAAAACGAGCCAUCCUUCGGUUGGAGAUGGCCUAAGAAGAGACUAGAGAUAGAGAGAUUCCUAUACUUAGCUGUGAGAGUUUCCUAUAUAUGAUUUUCAUUAACAAGAUUGAACUGAUUACAUAGAGAAGAAGAUCAAGUAUGGUUAUUUUUAUUUGGGAGACUUUGGAUGUGGUCCUUAGUUAUGAAUAUUAUUUGAUUGAAAUCUUGUUGGUUUUUAAUUUUUUAUCAAGAUCCCUGAAAUUAAUGUGAUAAUUUAUUUCUAUGUAAGUUACUAUAUUUUUUUAAUUAGAAAUUAGAAAUUUUAGUUGUUUAUAUAAAUGAGAUUUUAAAUUAAAAAAACCAUAAUUUGUGGGAUUAAAAAUAUUAAAAUAUAAAUAUACUAUUGUGUGUGUGUGUGUGUGUGUGUGUGUAUAAAUAUGGGUACAUUCAUCAAAAUUAACCAAAAAAUUUAUUGUAUCAAAACAUGGGUACAUUCUUCAAAAUCACAAAAAAAGAAAGAUAUUAGGCUUAAUAACAUUAGUAAAUUUCUUCGAUUAAACUUGACAUGGAUACAUUUUAAAAUCAAAGAAAAAAAAUGUACCCAUAUAAGUUUAAAAAUGGAUUAGAAAAAAAAAUUGAAUAGAUUUUAUACAAAAAAAGGGUACGUUUUACAUAUAACAAAUUGGUAUAUUUAAGAAUGAGUACAUUUUAAGAUUAAAAAGUUUUACAUGAAUGGGUUCAUAUAAUUAGCAUGGGUACAUUUAGCAAAAUAAAAAGUACAAAUACAAAAAAAUAUAUGUGUACAAAUACAAAUAAACUUUAAAAAAUAUGGGCACAAAAAGAAAUUAAUAUAUGGGUACAAAUUAAAACCGAAAAGAAAAUUGGUACAAGUUAAAAAAGAAUUACAAAUUAAAAAUGGGUACAAACUAAAACUAAAAAUAUAUGAUAAAAAAUUUAGUCAUAAAUAUAAAUAUACUAAUUGUAACAUUUUUAACAUUAAAUGAAUAUAUUUAGACAUAAAAAAUAUAUUUUAUUAUUGAAAUAAUUAAUGAUGUUAUUAAUACCCAAGGACCUUGAUAAAAAAUUGAAAAGAAAUAGAAUUUUAAUCAAUGGAGUAGCAAAAGAAAAGAUGAGAACCUAAUUUCUCCUUUGUAUUGUGUAGACAUUAUAACUAUACAUUCAUAAUAACAUGAGUAAUGUUAUAUUUAUCACAUUUGUACUCUUUCUCCAAUAAAGAUAGGGUCCAUCAACACAUGUGGGUUCUAUUUGCCCAUCAACACAUGCGAAUCUCAUUUUUAUUAGAAAAAUAGUACAAAUAUGAUAUGGAAAUUAUGAUAAGAUCGCAAUUUUGUAAUAACAUAUAUACUCAACUAUUUAUAUACCAACUCAUCUCCCUUUAGUGUAGUUAAUAUUGUUUGUUCAACCAAAAAAAAAAAAACUGAACUUGUCAUAAUCAUUGAAUCCAUUUACCAUGAACAAACGGCAGUUUACUAAACUUGCCCUCAGAGUAUAUAUAAAAGGUGAAUCACAAUCUAUUGCAUUAAUAUAAGGAAACAAUUUAUAGGGUUUGACGGGUGACUUAAUAUGCUAUAUGGCACAAUGAAAAUUAAGUUCACACUUUAUCCCAAAUAAGGUGUUGCACCUUUAAUUUAUGGAUGCUGGUUUGACGUGUGACCGAAAUAAUCAAAUUGUAGCCAUUAAUCAUUUUACAAGUAAUAAUAUGUGGUUUUAUUGUUUACGAUUCACACAACAAUCUGCUAGGAAGUAGAAAAUGCAGUACUUGUCCCUCUCACAGAAGUCAUGAAUAAUUAUCAAAUUCAAAGAUAAAGAAAAACCACACAAUUUACAAGAGGAAAGAAAAUGAAGGGAUAAAGAAAGUAAGAAAGGAAUACCUCUAUGGGAGGACUCUUAUUUGCUUCAGAUGCCUACAAUAUUCAUCAUAUAAACACUGAUUAAGUAGUCAUCGAAAACCAAAACAAAUGUCGAACAUAGGGUGAAAAACAGAAAGAAUAACCGCAGCUCAUCAUACCAAUAGAGAUAGAACUGCCCGAUGCCCAAGUAUGACUGAAAAAUGGCAAUCCAAACAUGGCGCCUUCUAGCUCAUCAAACUGUCAAAACCUAGGUUCCACCAAAAAGAUACAAGUCACCUAGUUACUUGUAAAAUAAAAAUCUGUUUCAAAAUAGUGGAAAAUAUUAUUAACAUUGUUCAAAGUCCACAUUGUUGUACCUACCAAGAAACAAGAAGGAUUGUAUCUUAUCAUGAAAAAGAACAUAGGUACCUUUUCAAUUGUAAUUGUACAAAAAUGAGAGACCACUUCCGAACUUCUCUUGGAACUUCAAUCAAUUUCUGCCCACUUUUAAAUGCCUUGACAUACUUAAGCCUAUUUCUUUGAGCUUCAGUUUUGGCUUCUGAUGCCUUUAAAUUUCUUAAAGAUUCUUACCAAGUUUUACAAACUCACUUCUAUACAACCAUUUGUCAGUAUACAUACCAUUUUCUUUGAGCUUCAGUCUUUGCAACACCAAAACCCCCCAAAUAGACCCGGAAUUUUGCAAUGUGCAGGGAAUAUACAAAAAAAACCCUCCUAUCCAUCUAAAACGAAAUCAGAACGCAAACCACAAUCAAAAUCCGUAAAAUUAAUUUAGCCAACCCCUAAAUCUAAUAAUUCUAACAAAUAUUAUAGUAUCAAUUGAGAGAGAAUUUGAGAAGAUACCUAGAGAUGAAAGGAAGAGCGUUUCCUCUGAUAGGGGUUCCGUGAAAGCAUCUGUUGACCAGAAAAGAAAAGGCAAAAAACCCCAAAUUACAUAUCAAGCAAUUAUAGAUAGAUCGAACCUUGAAAAUUGAAAUUUCAAACAAGAGAAAGGUUAUAAACUUACAACGAUCUGGGUGUUGGUAACUGGGUUUGGAUUUGGGUUUCUGAUAAGAGAGAGAAUCGUAUGAGGAACCGAUAGAGGAACUGCACCGGCAACAGAGAGCAAUUGAUAUGGUGGAGAACAGACGAGAAUAGCUGCUUGGAUGGUCAAUCCAAGAAGAGAAAAUCUUGCCACAAUCGCGGUACUUGAAAAAAAAAAAAACAAGUUUAAAGGAGGGAAACAAUCGCGCCUUUUUCUAAUAGACUCUGUCGACGAUAUUCUUGACAAAUAGAUGCUUCGUCGGGUGAGCUUAUUUUUCACAACAUUUUAUUUAGGAUUGGGUUCGGUUGGUAAACCGUGUCAAAUUUCUUGUGCCACUUGCCAGCCACAUAUACAUAAUUACCGAAAAUCAGUUACCGUUAGCCAACCGUCUUCUUGCGGUUGCCAAAAAUCGGUUCAGCCAAAAUGAUUGGCUGGUUCGGUUGGUAAAUGGCACAACCGGUGGUUUCCACUUCUUCCUCGCUAUCUUCCAGUUCCAAGGGCUCAAUUUGAUUUUCAGAUUGGGAUGCUUGUUCGGUUGCAUUGUGUGGUUCAUUUUGGGUUAAUCCAUGUUGUGCACUAGUAGUUGAUUGGCUAGACUCCAUUAUCCUAAACAUAAGCAACAAAUAUACAUUCAAAAUAAUAUAUAUGUACGUGUAUAUAUAGUAUCAGUAAUCAUCAUGCUAUCAAUUUUGUUAACAAUAUUUUCUAUAUAUUGAUUUUGGCAUGAAUCAUAUACACAUACAUAUAUUUUUAAAACCCUAAAACUAAGGAGUCAUUUAUUUUCUAAACUCUAAAAUUGAGGAGUCAAGCAUGUAAAAAAAUACUUAAAAUAUCUAAAUAGAAAAAGAAAAAGAAAAAAAAAUAAAUAUAUAUAUAUAUCGGUAGGUAUGGCAUACCGCCGGCAUACAAAAUCAAUUACCAAAGCCAUGCCAUUAAUUGUCGGUUCGGUAAAAUGCCAACCGAUUAUGAAAAAAUGUCAAAACUAUACCAUACCAUUUUGAGCCAACCAGUAUGGUUUGGUCAGUAAAUCGGUUUAUGGCAAAAUUUCUCACCCCUAAUUUUAUUUGUCACCUUAAACCUAUUGGUUUCUAGCCUACAAUUCGGAUAUUUUGUUGGGGAAAGAUUUUUGUACCAAUAAAAUUUUGCUUUGUCGGCAAAAUGACAUUUUCUAGUAGUUAUAAUAUUAGGUAGAUCAAAUUUGUAAACUAUGUGAUGUGUCACUAAUAGGAAAAAAUUUCAGUGUGCUGAAAAUACGGUCUAGAACACCAAGUGUCAUAAUAUAUACUUGGUUGGAAAUCUUUUAUUUUCAAGUUUCCAACUAGUUGUAUUGUAACAGUUGGUGUUCCAAGCUAUUUUCUCCAUGCGCUGGAAAAUCUCUUCACUAAUUAAAAAUAAACAUAUUAAUUAACACUUAAGUAAUAAUCAAAGCAUCAACAACUACGUCAUAGAAUUUACGAAAUAUGAUCUUAAUUAAUGAUCUCCAUUACCCUUUAUCUUAGCGUAUACGUACGCCUUCACAUGUUUAUUUGCUGAUAUGCAGCUUGAGUAAAAAUUUCUUUUUAAGAACAUAUAUGUGAAUAUAAACAUAUAUAUCUAGUGAUCCAUGUUGCGUUAUUUAAAAAUAAACAAAUUAAUUAAUUAAUGAACUGUGUACCUGUCUGUGUAGAGUAAUCCAUAUGCAUGCUUGAAUCCUGAUCACCACGAAACCAUAAUAUAAGCUACUCAAGGCCCGGAAGCUAGGAUUGAAGAGAAAAACACCCAGUCAGAUUAAGCCAAUACAUCAAAGUUAAUACUUCCAAAUGUAAGCUUUAAGAUAGAAAAAUCACUUACUUCCUUGAGCAGUCGAGCUUCUUCAAUGGCAUGAAGCUUUUAGCAUGAGAUUGACUGCAUCACAACUAAAAUUUUCUCUUGGAAACUACAUAAGGAAUAGCAUGUAUACCUAUAACGUUGAGAAAGUACGCCAAUUUUUUCCUUCUGCACAUUCAUGUUUAAAAGUAAUCCUCAAAUGAACUUGCCCACAAUGAAAUGCAAUUUGAGGUAGUCGAGUGUGUUCCAUUUCCAUCCCAUCGGAAUUACUACUAAACUUUGAGAUGGUAGAGGAUUCAUGAAAUUUUUUACUUUUGAAAUAGUCUCCUUAGCAUUUCUCGACUAUAACAAUGAGGAAAUACUUCACCUUGUAUCAAACAAGGGAGACCGAAAAUCAACUACUAAUAGCAUCACAGAGCCAGCAGAAGAUUGAGGAGGCCAUGAAAAGGAAAGAGAAAAUACACUCUUUUUUUGUAAGGACAGAGAUAAUACAUUCAAUAAAGGGUACUGAUGUUUAUAUGCAAAGCUGAUUAGGUUUAAAUAGUCGUAUUUAUUCUGUACAGUGCCAAUAUUACCACCCGUUAGUACACUUUCAAGACACUGUAAUCCAGUGUAUGCACUAUGCAGUACGUAGUACUCCUCAUUUUUUUGGGGAAAUUCAUUAUUGGUCUUCAUAUCUUCUUUAUUUUCCUUGUCCUCAUUGUGCCACGUGUUUAAAUCACUAAUUAUAGGUAAUCUUUCAAUUUAAUUAAAUCUUAUGUAAAAAAAGAUAAUUAAAUAUCAUUUAGUAUUACAAUAUAGUGAUAUUCCUCUUUAGUAUAAAAUUUUUAUAAUUAAAAGCGUUCAGCUUUUUAAUCUUCAUUGGAAUAUUAUCUAUAAAGAAAAAUUAUUCGAAUCAGAGAUCAUUUAUGCAUUCAAAUGUAUAAAAUACAUCGACAGUGUGAGAACCAACUAAUAUAUUUUUGAUGAAGUACAAUUAUUGAAUACAUUUGAACGAUCAAAUGAUAUAUGAUUCAAAAUACAUAUUAAGAUAAUAAAUAUAAAAGAAUUGUUAUUUGCACUUCAAGAAUCUCAUUCUACACUCUAAAUUUUCUAUAUAUUAAAAGAAAAAUAAAUUUGUGAAAAGUGUAGAAUGAGGUUUUUUUAAAUGCUAAUAACACUUCUCUAAAUACAAUUAUGAAAUUAAUUAAGUAAAGAUACAUGACCUCGUGAAUGAUGAAUGUAUUAUUCAAAAAAAUAUUAAAAACAAAUUGAAAAAGGACGCUGUUGUUGCCACCACUUAUGCAAUGAUCGUCGCUGCCAUCACCAACCCCCAACACCCCAUUACAGCUCAUAAAAGCACAUCAUAAGCAAUUUAUGAAAUAAAUUUACUGGAAUACUAAUUUCCCCCUUAGUUUAGGUCACCAAUGUUUAAAUUUAGGGAUCGUGAUAUCCACACACAUUUUUUACUUCUUUCACACUUUUUUUUUCGGUUGUCGGAUCAGAUGAAUUGAAGAAAAUCAAUGAACAGAAAUUAACAAGGGGUGUGUGAGAAGUAAAAAUGAAUGUGUGGAUAACACACCCCUAAAUUUAUCACAACUUUCAUUCCAAAUUUAAUUUUUAUCCGUAGUUUUGUUUGUUCAAAUUUACUUUGACAUUUCCAUUAGUAUUAAAAUCUAAUUUAAAUUUUAGUGUUCAAGCUAGAAAAAGUGUUCCAUUUAAUAUUUAAUCUCAGUUUUUCUCUUUAUUCUUUUAUUGGGAUUUGGUUGCAUCGUAUCUCCAUUUUUCUCGGUGUUGUAUGUUCAUAAGGCCUGUGAAACGUUGGCACGGAGUGAAGGGUACUCACUUUUUGGCCCAAAAUGCAUAAGGCAUGUAGAUAUGUUAAUCAAAUUUUGUAAACUAAAGGAUAUAGAAGUUGAUAAUUAGAUUAUAAUUUAAGAUAAUACUAAGGAGACUAAAUUUGCAAACUAAAUGAUGUGUCACCAAUAAAAAUAAGCACGUUUAUCAACAAUUAAGUAAUAAAUCAAUCAUCAACUUUCAUGUCCUUUAGUUUCCAAGAUUUAAUAUACAAAUUUAGUCUCCCAAGCAUUACUCUAUUACUUAAGUAUUGAUUAACAGACUUAUUUCUUAUGGUGACACAUUAUUUAGUUUACAAUUUUAGUCUACCCAACAUUACUCUUUUGAAAUUGUCUUGUCCACUGAUAUAAUUCUAUUUUUCUUGUGAUCAAAACUUCAAAUGUUAGCAAGUCGCACGUAAAGUCGCUUAUGAGAGAAUGUGCUCACAUUGUAGUUGAAAGAUUAUGUGGCUAGCAACAUUACAAAUUUAAUUUGGUAUAAUUCUAAAAUAUAGAUUGAGGAAAAAAUGAUCACAUUAACUAGAAACUGAAAAGGUUUCAGCACAGUUUGUUCAAGCAAGAAAUUCAAUUUUGAUGCUACCGAUCUUAACAGCCUGAGCGCCGUACCUGGGCACCAAAGUCACCACCACACUCUCAUCAUCUUCAGCACCCAAAUCCUCCAACAGGUCCGUUAACCCCAACCUUAAACAACUCUUGCUCUUUUCCUUCUGCUUAUGUGGCACACUCACAAAACUCCCAGCAAACUCGCUCUUGUCGGGUCCACUCGGUGCCGCAUCCUCAUCGUCCACGUCAUUCACAUACACACAUCAAACUUCACAGCCACAUCUUUGUCAAGCUCAAUCCCCUGAAUCACCAAUAUCUCCUCCUCAUCCUCUUUCUCCUUCUUGCUCCUCUUCUUCGGCUUCGGCCUUGACACCACCGUACUUAUCUUCGUCUCCAAAUUUAUUGGAAAAUCUUUACCCGCCACCACCUUCCCUGAUGACGUCGUCUCAGUGGCCUUCGCCACUCCAGCCGCCUUUGCCUUUCUCGCAAGCUUUGUCCGACGUGGCGUCGGUCUAGACUUGAGCCAUGGAAUCUCAACAUCUUCAUACGUAUACCCUAGCUUUUUAUUAUCAAGAGUGUCCCUCACCGUGACCCUAACAAGCUCAGCAUUCUCGUCAUAAAACAAAAACCCCGUAUCCAACCAAUCCUUAUCGUUAAUAUCGUUAUUUUUAGUCCCUAUACUUUUCCAAAUAUUCCACAUUCGAUCUAUAUUCGAAUGGUGCGAAAAAAAUAUUGGAUCCCUUGCAGCGGAGUAAAAAUUCCCCAUGUCUUCAAAAUUAGGCUGCGUGUUAUCUCCGGUCCAUAAAUGAACCGGACCAUGUGGGGUCGUUUCGAUUGAACCGCCCCCUGGAUCUGGUUCAGUGUCAGCCCUGUAGGGCGAACCAAAGAACAACAGCGGUUUCUUGGAGUUGGAAACCAUCUGCCUAUACAUGAUUUUGAGGUUGGCGUCGAUUUGAGCAUCCUUGGACAUUGUUUCAUCCGUGCCGUUGAAGUCAAGAUCGAUGAGAGUCGGCGGCUGAUGGCUGGCAGCGCGGAGCUCGUCGUAAAGCGGAGAGUCCGGGUUAGCGAACAAGGCAGGGAGUUGCAUGCCAGCUGGCGCGUCCCAGUUCCAAAACGGCAACGCGAACGUCGGAUCGUCUAUGAGUUUGGCCAAGAUUCUUUCGUAGAAGUAUACGUAGUAACGAUGGAAGGGGAAGAAAAGCCAGCAUUGAUGGAUUUGGAGCUCGAGGUUGGGGAAGCCGACUUGGUCGUACGCGCCGUCGCAAUAGGCACAGUGGAGAUCGGCUUGCUGGGUGAAGCUACGCGGAUCGUCGUCCGGGAGGGCUUUCAUGAGCUCGAUGGCUUUUGAAUAUUUUUCGAUGUAGGCUUUAUCCACGGUGUGAGCUGCCGGCCUGACGCGGAGUUUGGUAGGGGAGGGGAAUUUGAAGUCUACGAUUUUUUGGGACGUUGGCGGGCAACAGUUGAUCGGGACUGCUCCACUUGGAAAGUCCGCAGCUCCGCAUUUGGCUAGGUCAGGCGGCAACACUGGCUUUGCAACAGCGAAGGGGUCGCUGCCAAGACCAGCCACUCC
rnacentral:lncRNA from 1 species